rnacentral:lncRNA from 1 species
CCUCUUCAGCACAAACCUCUCUUCAGAUGCUAUAAUGCUGGUGACAACACAUUUCUUGUCUGAAAAUGGCUUCCUACCUGUCCUUCCAGCUUGAUGAAGGUAAUCCACGGCACUCCUCGGAAGAUCAAAGUUGUAAAUAUGAGUUGUUUCCGGCAGGUCAAUACCUCCGGCUGCGAUAUCGUUGCUACAAUAAGACAGCCUUCUUUUUGUCUCACUUCCUGUAGUCCAAAUACGGAGGAAUUAGAUAUGAAGUCGGACUAUACAUAUUUUCACCAAUGGACCGCUUAGGAUGUGCUUAGUAUACCCAUGUUUAGCAUGACGAGGAGUAUAUGCCUAUUUUAACUUGAGAAGGUCUACUUUAGGCAUUAAUAAAGGUUAUGAAGAAAGAAAGAAACGGUUUUCCUAAAGAAAACACAGUUGUAGCCAGAUAAUUUUCUUAAGUGGUAUAAUCUCUUUGAUCCUGAUUAGUGCUACCAAACAAUAAUGGUCUGUUAAGGUUUUGCAGCAUCCUUCAUCCUGUCUAAAAAAAAUCCAGCAUCUCAGGUCCGCAGAGAAUAAGGGUAAAAUCCAUCUCAUUCCAAAUUUAUUAUAGGACAAACACAGUUGAAGGGCAUAUCUUUAAUAUGCCAAAUUUCUACCCUGAGCAUUCUCAAAGUGAGGGAAGAAACAUCAUGAUGGAAAAAGUGAAAAGCACUUACUGAGAGUGUAGCUGCUCGUGCAUUGAAAUUCAUGUCUUCUUCUAGAAGGAGAAUAUUAGAGCAGCUUCCAUAAGAAUUCUUCAAGAAUUCAAGUAGAAGAGUUGUUGGUGGUACAUUUCCAGCCUUUUUUGACUUCUCAGACUAAACGCACAAAAGAUAGAAUUGGUUAGUUGACCCGCGGACAGUUGUUUAGAAAGGUGUAUUCACGUGAUAUGUGUGUGCUCAUGAAUGCUACAAGCUUCUGUAGAAUAUAUAAAUAAAAGCUGCAUUCACUUUAAUACAUUCCAAAACCCUCUCCGUGCAGGAAAACUUUCAGGACGUUGUAAAAAAUUCUCCAUAUUUGGAAACCAAUUUUCAUUCAGCAACCGAGAGAAACGUCAUCAGAGAAUAAACUUCUUUCACUCGUGUAAAGAACUGCAUAUAUGUUUUAUUUGAUGCCCCUGCAUAUGGACAGAUGAGCUUACUGAUAAAUGCAUGAAACUCUCUUCAGUCCAUUUAUUAUAUAAAACUGAUAGCCCAUUAGACAUUUUUAGCUAAGACCACUAAUCACUGCCACAUGAAUUGGGGACAGAGCCUGCCAUAUCAUACAUCAGUUGAUGUGUCUCGACAUCAUUUUUCAUUAUCCAGAUAAAAAUCUACUUCUUCCUCUCAUGCUUAUAACAAGUACAGCACCAAAAAAUGUGAAUAAACUACGGAAAAGAGAUGCAGGAUGAGCAUCAGGCAGUAUACCUGUUCGCCAAUAAAUAUAAUGCCAGAUUCAGGGCUGUCCCACUGUAUUAAAUGUAGCAAGGUCUGAUGUCUCCAACUCCUAUGACAUGUCUGAAACAGAUAGAAGCGUUAAGCAAGUCAAAAGCCAAGGAUCAUCAAUUCAGUACAUGGACUAUGAAGAUGAACAUUAAAUGAACAUAUGCAUAACUUCUAUGAAAGAGUCUGUAGAUCAAGUUUCGCAUUCAAUGUCCUCACCACAAACCUAUGAUCUAGACAUGAUGGCAUAGGCUGUAUUGGAUUGACGUGAACGUGAACCACAUCACCCUGUAACAGGCAAAGUCAUAUUAAAAUAAAAUCAGUGAGUGCAUGAGUAAACCCCAACAGAACAUUCACAAGAAUUAUAGCUUCAUGAAACCAACCUUAGUCCACUUCUGUUGUAUACAAUCAUGUAAAAAUCACUUAUGCUGAGGUAUGGAUGCACUAGCAAAAACAGUUUGAUGGUUGUUGCAUGAUGAGUACGGUAGGCAGCAUCAAAGUAAGAAUGUCAGUUCUUCAUCCUACAAUAUCCAGGAAGAAUCAUGUCUGUAUAAAACAAGAUACCGAGGCCCCAGUGGGAUAAUCGCACAUUUUUAAUCAUACUAACAUGGUGAUUACAAAGUACCCAAUGAAAUAUACUCACAAAGAAAUAGACCAAUCAAGGCACUACAUGCUAACUGAAUAUCCUUUCUUAAAAAGGACCCUGCACCAGUCACUCUAAUCCCUAUAGGCAUAUAAGAGGCAAUAAAUGCGCACCUUAAAAAUACUCUUAAUUUGACCCAAAAAAAAAAUACUCUUAAUUUUAAAACCAUUAAAAAAAAAUUGGCCCCACUAGUGAAUGCCUGGGGAUUUUUCUGGAGGAGAAAGUGAUCUAGCAUCUUAACAAGAAUAUGGGGUUAAUGAAUCAGCUUUAAGAUGCCAAGCAGGUCUUGCUCCGAAAAGAAGAACUCAACUUAUUCCAAAUUGUUUACCUCAUCUAUCACUAGAAUCUGCACUGUGUCGAGUUCCAAAAACUUGCUUCUCCAGCAUCUGGCAUGAGCUCCUGAUGGUUGCCACUACUAUUGCUGGGGGUUCUGCCUAAAAAUGUUACAAGGAAAAGCCAAGGAGGUCAUAUUGAAGGUUGACACAUGAAAUCCAUCAACAGCAUGCUUUAAUUUUAGAGAAGCAUCCCAAAGACAUAGCUACAUUAGGCAAUUGAUAUUUGUUGGCACUUGAACGGACAAGUGUGGGGAUUCGGGUGGGCAUAUAAUUGCCAGCUUGUGUUAUCAUGCUUCUGGUCAGACAGGUCCUCUGUUCUCAGGUUUAAAAACAUCAGUGAGAAAAUUUUAGGCUUUUCCUCUUCUUAGUACAUCCAUAUAUAAGAUUCAUAAUCUCAAAAGCAGGAAAUUCCACUAAAACUAAAAAUCUAGUUACAGGGGUACUUGUAAGAGCGUGGACAGAAUAACAAAAUAGAGGAGCAAGACAACCACAAAUAUUCAGUCAAGAAAAGGUAGACAACUAAACAGACACAUGAGCAUUGACAAAGAGACAAACUUAUUUUGCCCAAAAAUGGAAGAAUUAAUAGAAGCUGUAUUUAACUGAGUAAACUAAUGCGUGGAAGAACAGUUUUGCAUAAGUUGCAGGAAAAAACAAUUUUGCAUCAUUAAACAUACACAAGCAAAUGGAUACUGGCAUAUGAUAUAUAGUCAAGAAAAGGAAAAAAGCACAUAACACAAAAGCCUUCUAUUUUACAGAGCGACCACAAAAAUGUCAUUGAAGUAUAUAGGAAGAUAGCUCUGCUAAUGGGGUUUAGGUCACCCGGGAGAGGGAAGAAUAGUGGUACCACCUAAGCAUUUCAAUAUUGAUUCUCCAUAACUUCUCCUACAUAAGGAGAAUACCAGUCAUUUCCUCAGAUCAAUAAGUAAACUAAUUAUACAAGGGGUUUCGAGAAUUAAUGUUUCUAUAUAUAAGUUGUAAUGACAGUUAUUUGUAGUUUAUCAGCGCCAGCUUAACUGUAAUUUUAUGCUCAGAAAGCACACCACACACAUGCGCACAGAGAGAGAGAGAGAGAGAGAGAGAGAACCUUUAACCAACUCCUGUGUCUUUUCAAUGUACCUCCAUCUAGAAGAGCCAUAACAGUACAUGAUUUAUCUUGCUCCAUUUCAGGAUUCAUUGGCUUUGCAGCCAACAGCCGAGCAACUUUGGCUACCUUGUCAUAAAUGGAUAACAAUAAGAAGAAGACGUGACAUUAUACUCUUAAUGUAGCACGACACCAUUUUGCGCAGAUGUAACAACCACUUUCUGAGUUACAAUAGUGAAAGAGAAGCAAAGACAAAAGGGAAAAUAUCAAAUGAAAUAUCAUAAUCAGAAACUUACCUGAAUGCCAAGUUCUCGGGUGGGGACAACUAUUAACGCUUGUACAGAAGACCGUGUUCAUAACUGAAAAUAUCCUCAGAAGGUACGUCAGUGUCUUCCCAGAACCUGUCUGGAGGGCCAAAAGCAUGAGUGCACUGGCCAUGUCAAUGCAGGAUCCUUUUACGUUUUCUUCCCUAGUUGAGUUCAUAUGCAGAGUCAAAAAGUAAUUCCAAUUGAGUUGGAAGCCUGAACAUUAACAGGAUAGAUCAUAUCACAUCAGACACAUAUUAGACCACUCUUUUCGCAAACAUCUCCUCAUAACUCAAUAAACACAACUGUGAAUUGACCAAUAUAGCGGGAUACUUCAUGACUGCCUAGUACAGAGCAAUCUUUAGCCCUUUUGAAAAGUUGCACACUAGUUCUUCCAUUGGUGUUUUCUACCAAAUUGCCGACGUGGGAAACUUUGCAGGAAACCGGAAACUGAUGUGAUAGAUUAAUUAGAUAUUAAACCACAUCUUCAUUUAAUAGCUUUAAAAUAGUUGGUAGGGGUCCACAAAAUUUCCCAUGGUAUAUCCCACAAAAUCUCACUAAUAAUGGUAAGUCUUUUCAAAUUCUCAUAAAGAGACUAAGACUGCACCGUACAAAUUAAAAGGCUCCGGCAUCGGACUUGGUUGCAUUUGCUGCCUACUUCCAGCGUACUCAUUUUAUCGUUUUGUUCUUAACAGAAAACUGAAAUCAAUGGCAAAUAAGAGACCAACCUGAGCAUGAAGCACGCAAUCCCUCCCAGAGAAAAGGGCAGGGAAUGCUUCCCUCUGAACAUCAGUCGCUAAUACGUACCCAACUUCCUCCAUCCUGCAAAACCGCCCAAACAUAAAUUCUCCACAUAGCUCCGAAAACCCAACAUCGGCAAAACAACAUCUCUCACUUCUCGCUCUAAAGUAACAAUCUCUGAACUCGGUAUUCGCACUUGCCUGCGCAGGACAUCCUCGUGCACGCGGCCGCUACAAAUUCUUCUCAGCGUGAGAGGGGCUGGCUCCGGGUCGGCCUCCUCCGCCGCGGGGGAGAAGCCGACGAGGGCUCGCGGCGGCUCGCGGCGGGACGUGGAGAGAGGAGAUUGAAUUGGGCGAGCGGCGACGAGGGCCGAGAACUUGGGUUCGGGGUUGCGGAGAAGGAAGAGGGACGAAGGAGGGACGAGCUUUGUUGCGGAAGAGACGGGAGGACAGAGAAUGGCGAGCGGAGUGGUGGGAGUAGAAGAAGAAGAAGAAGAAGAAGCAGCCAUUGUCGAGCAAAGAAGCUCGCUCCUCAGACGAGCAGCUGGUGUAUAGCAGAUACGUCUUCAACUUCGCUGUACCCCAAAUCCUCUCCGUUUGCCUCUUCCCCGAAUUAAAUUAGAUUUUGGAUCCAUUUAUUUCACAAAAAAAAAAAAAUAAUUAAUUAUCUUAAAAAAUGUGUUUUAAAAAUAAUUAUUUAUAUUACUUAUAAAAAUAAAUAAUGAAUUAUCAUUAAUAAUGAAAAUAAUUUUUAUUAAUGAUUUUAAUUGAUAUCAAUCAUCGUUUAUAGAAAAAUAUUGUUAAAGUUAGUCAUUUUCCUGGAACAAAUGAAGUUAAUUGACAUUUUACUUGAAAACAAUAAUGAUUGAUUUAAAUUUGGUCGUUAAAUAUCACUCUCAACUGCCAUGUUAAACAAAUUUACGCUAUUUUUCUUUAUUUUACAAGUAAUUCUCAACUGGACUAUGGCUUCAUACAUAUGCACAUUUUCUCAAGGUAAAUUCCGUUUCAAUAAGUUAUACUGUGAUUCUUUUUGGGACUUGUUGCAUCAUACAUUAUAAGAUUGAUAGAUCAAAAAGCAAAUUAAUAAUAUUUCUAGCAUAGAAGAAAAUAAAUAAAUCAUCUAAACAGCGGUAAAAAAUAAAAAAAAUAAAAUUACCGACGCUAGGAGGGCAAAAUGCUUAAGAGAAUUCAAGUAAUUUUGGAGGGGCGGCGGCUGUUCCUCUAAACAUUGGUUCGAAUUUUCUUCUUUUAUUUGGCUUUUCCAAUUUUCCUUCUUCUUUAUAGUCAUUUUCUAACAUGACGCUCGUAUGACACCGCAUCAACACCAAAUGUCCUUAAAUAACAUUAACAAUGCCAUGUGAACUACCACAUAGGAUUUUUAAGUGUAGUAUUUGGCAAAAUUGUGAUGGAUUUUUUUUUUUUCUGAAGAAGAAAAUUUGUGCUAAUUGAGAUAUAAGUUUAGGAUUUUCGAUAACACAAAAAAAAUUCAAAUAUUGAUGUCACAUUUCAUAUGGUUUAAGAUUUAUGAUGUCACAUCUUUCUAACCCUUUCAAGGCUCACAACUCACUUGGAUUUUGAGGCGAGUCCUAAUGCUUAAGAUUGUUGCACUCAUGAAUGACAUCCUUUAGGAUUAUAUGUCCCUCACAACUCAUUGAAUCCCGCAAAUUGAGAGGCAGUAAAUUUUGCACACGUAGCAUUUCUUCUAUAAGCAAGAUCUUGUAGAUAAAAAGGAGGUUUUGGCAAAAAGAUGAAAUACCCAUAAGCAACUUUUUCCGCUUCUUGUCCCUUUUUAGUAGGUCGAUUAGAACCCAAGUAAAGUAACGUGACAUCUAUUUACUCCUACGAACUAGAGAUUUGUGAGUUCGGGGACUUAAUUACACUAGAUUUAUUUAACGCAAUUUAAGUACAUUUCUCUUUUAUUUUCAAAAUUUUUUGCAAGCAGUUUAGAUUAUUUUUAAAUUUAUUUUCCUAACAUAUGAGGUGGUUAUGUGGGUGCACAAAUCACCAAUUUAACACCCAAGCAAGUAGUGAAUAAAUUGCAGGACUUAUCUUCUAACAACGAAAUCAUCUGCGUUGUUAGAUCAAAAUUCACAUCAACAACCUAGAUAUGAUUUCUAAUUAACACGCAAUUUCUUUUUUCGUUUUCACUUAAUUAAUGAGAAUCAUGCUUCAUGCAAUACAAUAUAACUAAAUGACAUAAUUCUAAUGACGGACAAUUUCUAAUUAAAUGAACCCAGCAACAAUCACUAAAUGAUAUGCAUUUCAUGAAUCUAAUUUUAUAUGACAUGCACAUGAAUCUAUCAUAGAAAAUAAAACUAAUUUAUUUUAAGACAUUUUUUGUAUUUUUUAUGAAAUUCGAAAUAAGAAAAAUGUGAAAAUUAUCUAACUAGAUUAAGAUUCUAUCCAAGUCAGGCUAAACCCUAAUUUAACCAAGAUAUUAUCUUAACUUAGCUCUAUCCUAAGAUGCAGUCUAUCUAAAAAGAUUAAUCUAAACAUCUUAAUUCUACAUGACAUAUGCAUAAUGAUUUUUUUUUAAUGUUUUUUUAUAAAAUUCGAAAUUUAAAAUUGCCACAUAAUUAAAUUAAACAAAAACUAACAUCCUAAAUGAAUGCAUUUUUUGAAUUUUUUUAUUUUUAAAAAUUCGAAAUAAAAUUCAUAUUCUAAAUAUGCAAGAUAAUAAGAAUUAUUCUAAAAUAAACCUAAUCCUAAUUCAAAUAUUUUUUGGACUUUUUUAAAAUAAAAUAAAAUUGAUUCAACUAAUAUGACGGUAAAUCAGAUAAUAUAUGAUCGAUAUUCAUAAAUUAAUGAACCAUAUCUCGCGCAUGAGAUCGAGUUAGCCAAUUUUUAAAUAAAUUGCGAAUCGAAUUUUCGACGUAAGAUCGAAUUGACAAUUUUGCAAGCGCGAGUUGGAUUUUGAGCAUGAAAAUCGGAUUGUGAAUCCCAAAUUUCAGAGGCAAUUUCAUGUUGGGCAAUCUCGAUCUUACAUCAACGAAUAAUCAUACUAAAAAGAACAAGUAAAAUAAAAUAAAUAGAAAACUACCUAAUGUGAUUUUCUUUUUUUUCCUUUGUUUCCAAACAAUGGCUUGGCAGCUCGUGGUGGUCGCCAAGGGUGGCUGGCCGUCGGUCCGGCAAGGGGAACUCCGGCGAGGGCGGACCGGCAGGAAAGGGGCGGCACCCGGGCAGCAGGGACAGCCAGCGGAACAGGGGCGUCGCGGUCAGAGCUGCCGGCGUUCGGACUCCGGCGAAGGGCGUCACGGCCAAAGGACUUCGGGUGCGGUCGUCGCGGGCGAAGGGCUACAGAUCCGGCUCGGGGGUCGCUCGGGUGGAGGGCUGCAGAUCCUGCUCGGGUGGUCGCUCGGGUGGAGGGCUGACCGAAACGGAUCACCGGCGAAGGCGAGGCGGCGUUGCUGCGUCUGGGCAGAAGGUUCGGCAGCAGGGGAGCAGAGGACUCACGGCUUCGAGCGGGCGGAGCAGAGCAGCAGCAGCGUCGCAGGGGGUCAGCAGCGAGUGGAAGAGGCUGGGUCGCGCCUGUCGGCGUUGAAGACGGAGGCAGCAGCAGCGACGGUGGACGUGCGGACGAUCGGGCAACAGGGAUGUCGCGGUGGUGCGGCGCGAGGCCAACUCAGGCGAACAGGGGGCGUCGGGCGCCGAGUGCUGCAGCGGUGCCACUCGGGGAAGCUCGGAGCAGCGUGCGGGCCGUCACUCGGAAAGCAGGGGGCUGCUGCUGCGUCGAUCGAAGGCGGAGGCUGGCGUCGGGGUUUGUUGCAGCGGGCAGAUCUGGAGAAGCGGCAGCCAACGCGGGGGCAGCAGACCGGCGGCGUGGCAGCGUCGUGGCUGGGUCGCAGUAGCAGAAGCGGAGCCGGCCGGGGGAGAGCAGAGACGGGCGGAGAGAGUUGAGGAAGACGAUAAACAGUAAACGUCCAAUCACUCCUCGCUUCUGCUUUUUCCUUUUCCCCCAAAGCACCGAAGGCCUCUUUUUCUUUCUUCUUUUCUUUUUUAUUCCUCUUGACCUCGAAAAGAAAACCCUAGGGAAGUCCCCUCUCUCAUGUUUUUCUCUCUGAAAAUUUUCCCCCUUUAAUGUGGCCGAAUGUCUCGAUUGCGUGGCCUUCCUUCUCUCGAAACCCACAUGAGUAACCUUUUCAUAGACCAAAAGAUUAGGAUUUUAAUUUUCUUCAAAUCAACGUUCGCAGAGAUUUCUUUUCUGCAUGCAAUAUCACUUUUAUUUCUACACCUCUUCUAGAUUUUAUUUGUAAAAAUGAAUAUUCUCUAUUGAUUUUUCAAAAAUUAUAAUAGGAUUUUUUUUCAAAUACGUGCUCGAACCCAAAUUGCUCUUUUCGUAGGCUUAGUCCAACUUGUUAACUUAAAUCUCAGAACCACCAAAUCAAAUCCAUCUGUCACCGACCCAAUGUAAGUGCAAAUUAAAAUAAAUGCACCUAAAACUAUAUGUUAUGCAAUUAAUUAAUUAACUAAUAUUUUUUUAGGGAUUAAAAUUAAUCCCUAAUUUUUUAAUGCGAUAAAUGACUAAACUGAUUGCCAAAAUUUAUGUGUGAACAGGUCGGUUUUGGAUCAUGCUCAGUCUGUGAGCCGUGUCACAAGCAUAGUUUGUAGAUCACGACAGCAAGCUCCAUCUCUAACUCUCGUCUCUUCUCUCUUCACUUAUGAGGAGAAAACCAAAAUGUUCUAAUUAUUAAGGUGCUUGAUGGCGAUUGGGAUUAUGCCCCAAUUAUUAGUUUUUGCUGCAUGCUCUUUUCUCAAGAUCUCAAACAAACAAAAAAAACACAAAUAAAUAAUUAAUUUUAGUCAAAUGUGCAAUAUAAUUCCUAAAUCUUUUGGUAUGAAAAUGAGAGAUUAGUUUGAACAUAUACUAAAAGUUCAGGAACCACAUUAAACAUAAUAAAAUGUUAUAAACCGCAUUGAACAAAAAAAAAUCAAUGAUUACAUUAUACAUUUGACUAAAGUUCAUGGAUUAUUUGUGUCAUUUUCCCCCUUGAACAACCACCCUCCUCCGCAAAAUUCAAUUGAUACACAAUAUUAUAAGUGUCGAAAUAUUUUAAUAUCAAACCGUGCCACAUCUAAGAGCAGUUUUACUAAAAUUUAGAGGAAGUUUCUUGUAAAUUUGGCUGAACUCCCAAAAACAAAUCCCUAGAUUGCGAUUCUUGCUCUACCAUCUCUUUACCGUCUAAUUAGCUCCUCUACCCUUGUGUGUAGAAAUGCCUUCAUCAACUUACAAACCCUAGAAGAAAAAAAAUCCCACCGAUUAGCUCAAUGAUCACCACGAAUUCCCACGCAGCUUUUGGUGCUUCUCUUUUUCUUUUUCCCCUUUUCUCUUCUAGGGGUUUGAUGUCACACCCCAAAAAACCCCAACUGCUGCCCUCUUCUCCCUUUCUAUAUAAGCCUUCAAAUCGAUUAUCCAGGUACCAAUCUUUCAGAUAUAAAAGAGGAUGAUGGGGCCUCAGCUUGAUUGGCUAUUCUCUGCAAAAAAAUUGGGUAUGUCACUCUUAAAUAAAGAUAUUUUAGGAAUUGUAUUAGCUGAUAAAAUAGAGGAAUGCCAACCUAUUUUAAUAGGUUAGCUAUACCAAAAUCCUAGUAUCAAUUUCCAGGCAGUUCAAACGACAAUGAGGUGAGCAUGGAAAAAUGAAAAUGUAAUAAUCAUACCUCAGGGGCAUAAUAUUUUCAGUCUCACCUUCAAGAACGAAUUGGAAAAACUAGGGUGCUAGAGAGAGGCUCUUGAUCUUUUUCAAAUCAAUUACUACUACUUUAGAAUUGUGAGCCAAAUACUCCUCCCCACUGUUAUAAGUAUGAGAAAUGUACCUUCUGGAUUUGAAUACUUAGUCUGCCAAUCGGCUGGUUUUCCUUGGGGGUAGUAGAAUCUCUAGUUAGUUCAGCACGCCAAGUAAAAGAAGUGAGAAUAGAGGCUCAUGGCCCUGCAGCCCAAAGAACAGCCAAGGUUAUAGUGGAGUUAAACUUACAUGAAGCUCUAAGAGUAGCUACUUGAACUACCUAUAAGGGCAAGAAAAUUUGGCUAGACUUUAAGUAUGAAAGGCUUCCCCGCUUUUGCUACUCAUGCGGGAAGAUUGGUCAUUAUGCAAGUUACUGUGAAGAAAUCCCAUAUGAAGAAGAAAGAUUCACAACUAAGCUGGGAAGUAGCUUUGGUAGCUGGAUAAGAGUUGAAUCCUAGGCGAACAGUCCAUUUUGGAAAAUACUCUAUGGGAAGGAGACAAUGGAAGAUCUAGUUAAAGAAAUAAUUCCAGAAACCCCGGUGCAUCAAAGCCAAAUUAUUCCUCUAGAACUUGCUCAACCAUCUUGAAUGAAAGUUGCUGAAGAGGAGGAAGGCCUGAGAAUAUGCUAUUUGAAGUAGACAAAGACUACUUGCGGUAAAACAAAAACAGAAACUAGAAAGGAGAUUAUGAUGAUUACUAGCCCUACUCAAAAGUAGAUUACUCCCAAGGUAAAGCUGUCCCUUGGUCUUAACAGUAGCAGCAUAAAGAUUGGCAGGGGGCCAAAAACCCCAAAAGUAAAAAAGCAGAGGAGAUCCAACUCUUAUUGGUGGAUGAGUCCCAACUUCUUUACACUCCAAUCCUUAUGAUAGAGGAAGCAACAAAAUGGACUUUAGUGGCUAGCCUAAUAAGUCAUUGGGGGACAAAUGGAGAUCCUAAGUUGGAAUUGUCCAAGAUCUAGGCAUUCCCUUGACAGUCCAAAUCUUAGAGCUUUGGUGGCUCAAGAGAAGCCCAACUUAGUUUUCCUAAUGGAAACUAAGAAUCAAGAAGCAGUAGUGAAACGAGUAAAGAAGCAUCUUAGUUUUCGGAAUCACUUUGUAAUUAAUCUAGUAGGGAUUGGAGAAGGGUUAGCUAUCCUAUGGGAAGAUCAAGUAAAGGUUAAUAUAGAAUUGGCUACGGCUAAGUUUCUAGACUUAAUAUGUGAAUUUCAAGAAGAUAAAAAGUAAAUGAGGGUUACACUAGUGCAUGUCCCUACUAAUUAUUGAGAGAGGUCUUUACUUUGGAUGAAGCUUAUCUAGAUAAGCUUACUUAAUAACCUUCCUUGGUAUGUUUGAGAGACUUUAAUGAAAUACUUCACCAUUGGGAGAAGGAAGGGAAGAGAAAAGCUGCUUAUUAUCACAUGUUUGCUUUCAAUGAGUUUCUGAAUUCAUGCGCAUUAAUGGAUAUUGAAUGCAAGGGAUAUGCUUUCACCUGGUCAAAUAAAAAAGAAGGGGACAAUUUUGUGAAGGAAAAGUUAGAAAUGAUUCUGAGUAAUAUGAAAUGGAGAGUUUUUUUUAUCCAGAAGCAGUAGCCUUUGCUCAUCUAGCAAUUGAUUCAGGCCACACCCACUUCUAUUAUCCAUUACUGCAGAUUUAGUGAAAAGGAACAGAGUAAUCGGGGUAGAAAAUUAUUGGUUCAGAGCUGAUUAUUUUGUUCAAGAAGUUAAUAAAGCCCGGUCCUCAAUCCCUGAACAAGUAGCCAACUUUCCAAGGAAACUUCAUACAAUAUAUGCUAAACUGAAAAGAUGGAGCGGUCAAAGAUUUGCAAAUUGUUCUUGAAGAAUUAAUUAUUUAAAAAAGGAACCCUAAAAAUAGCCAACUCUUCCAAAACUUUUGAUAGAAAUAGAGAAAAAAGACUGAAAUAGGAGACAUAAUCUUUAUGGCAGCAAGAGGAAAUGUUUUGGUGAAUGCGCUCAAGAAUCAAAUAAAUGAAAUGGGGAGACAAAGAUACAAAAUUCUUGCAUGCAAGCACUCCGAAACAAAAUUUCAAUGCUCAAAAUAGAAGAGGGGUCCUCGAUUCGCAAUGAGAGGCUUUUACACUUAGCAGACAAUAGAUUUAUUUAAAAGCCUAUAUCAUUUAGUGGGUAACAGAAACUUUGACCCAGUUUUAGAAAUCAUUUCUACAAUAGUACAUGAAGAUAUGAAUGCAUCACUUACUGCUACGGUCACUUUGGAAGAAGUCAAGCGUGCAGUUUUCCAACUAUGCCCUCUAAGUGCCCCUGGACUGGAUAAUAUUAAUGCGAAAUUUUUCAGUUCCACUAGAGACUCUUCAGUUCAAAGUAUUUCCAGUAGUUAAGAAUUUUUUCAUGUAAGGAAAACUGAAUCCUGAUUUAAAUAGAACCCACAUUACAACAAUUCUAAAAACUUCUAACCCAUAAACUCUCGAUCAAUUCCGCCCCAUACGUUUAUGUGAUUUUGCCUACAAAAUCACAUCCAAGGUAAUGGUGAAUAGACUAAAACUUUGGUUAUCAAAAUUGAUAGCUCAAGAGUAAAGGAACACACCCACUUCUAUUAUCCAUUACUGCAGAUUUAGUGAAAAGGAACAGAGUAAUCAGGGUAGAAGAUUAUUGGUUCAGAGCUGAUUAUUUUGUUCAAGAAGUUAAUAAAGCCCGGUCCUCAAUCCCUGAACAAGUAGCCAACUUUCCAAGGAAACUUCAUACAAUAUAUGCUAAACUGAAAAGAUGGAGCGGUCAAAGAUUUGCAAAUUGUUCUUGAAGAAUUAAUUAUUUAAAAAAGGAACCCUAAAAAUAGCCAACUCUUCCAAAACUUUUGAUAGAAAUAGAGAAAAAAGACUGAAAUAUGAGACAUAAUCUUUAUGGCAGCAAGAGGAAAUGUUUUGGUGAAUGCGCUCAAGAAUCAAAUAAAUGAAAUGGGGAGACAAAGAUACAAAAUUCUUGCAUGCAAGCACUCCGAAACAAAAUUUCAAUGCUCAAAAUAGAAGAGGGGUCCUCGAUUCGCAAUGAGAGGCUUUUACACUUAGCAGACAAUAGAUUUAUUUAAAAGCCUAUAUCAUUUAGUGGGUAACAGAAACUUUGACCCAGUUUUAGAAAUCAUUUCUACAACAGUACAUGAAGAUAUGAAUGCAUCACUUACUGCUACGGUCACUUUGGAAGAAGUCAAGUGUGCAGUUUUCCAACUAUGCCCUCUAAGUGCCCCUGGACUGGAUAAUAUUAAUGCGAAAUUUUUCAGUUCCACUAGGAGACUCUUCAGUUCAAAGUAUUUCCAGUAGUUACGAAUUUUUUCAUGUCAGGAAAACUGAAUCCUGAUUUAAAUAGAACCCACAUUACAACAAUUCUAAAAAUUUAUAACCCAUAAACUCUCGAUCAAUUCCGCCCCAUACGUUUAUGUAAUUUUGCCUACAAAAUCACAUCCAAGGUAAUGGUGAAUAGACUAAAACUUUGGUUAUCAAAAUUGAUAGCUCAAGAGUAAAGUGCAUUUGUGAGUGGGAGACUUAUCCAAGACAAUAUCAUGAUAGUGUAGGAAGUGUUGCAUCAACUAAGAGUAAAUAAGAGGAGGAAAAAAUUCAAUGUGAUUUUGAAACUUGAUAUGAAAAAAAGCUUAUGACAGAGUAGAAUGGGAUUUCAUGGAGGCGUGCUUAAGAAAACUAGGCGUUGAUGAAAAGUGGAUUACAUGGAUUAUGCAAUGUGUGGCUUCAGUCUCAUUCAGUGUUAAAUUUAAUGGGAAUCCUCUCCCUUACUUCCAGCCUUCGAAAGGACUUCGGCAAGGUAAUGCUUUAUCCCCAAGCUAUUUCUUUUGGUAGCAAACGUAUUAUCUCUUAUAAUGAAGAAAGUAGUGGAAUAUGGCAGUAUAAAGGGUAUUAAGCUUAACUAUUUUUGCCCCACCUUAUCACAUCUCCUAUUUGUGGAUGACUCUAUCUUCUUUUUAGAUAGGAGAAUUCAAGAAUGCUAUAUGUAUAAGAUGGACUGCAUUAGUAUUGUUUUACCACUGGACAAGAGAAAAACCUAAACAAAUCAAGAAUAUUCUUUAGCUCAGGGUGUCCACAGACCUUAAGAGCCAACAUGAUUUAUGAAUUGCGUGUUCCUAUAAUAGAUAAAACAGGAAAACACCUUGGAAUAUACCAUUAGAUUGCGGAGAGUCUAAGAAGAAUAUGUUUGCCUAGAUGCUUGGAAGAGCUAACAAAUAAUUGGAAGGUUGGAAGGAAUCUUUAAUUUCUAAAGCGGGGAAGGAGAUAUUACUAAAAACAAUAGUGCAGGCUCUUCCUCAAUAUGAAAUGUCAAUUUUUAAGAUUCCUGAUUCCAUAUGUAGAGCAAUUGAAGAGAGAAUGGUAGCUUUUUGGUGGAAAAGCAGAGAGAAUUUCACUCUAGUAUUCAUUGGAAGAGUUGUAAUUUCUUGAAGCAAAGGAAAGACAAUGGAGGCAUGGGAUUAAAAGAUUUACUUUCUCUUAACAAGGCUUUCUUAGGUAAGCAAGCCUGGAGAUUAAUGCACCCUCUUUAUGGGGUCAAAUUUUUAAAGGGAUUUACUUCCCAAAAAGGAGUUUUUGGCAUGCAAGGGAAGGGCAUAGACCCUCCUGGGGCUGGCAAGGUUUACAAGAGGGAAGAGACUCAAUCUCAGAAUCUUCAAUGUGGAUAGUGAGAACAGGAGAAGCAAUCAGUAUCAAAGAGGACAAAUGGUUGAAAAGAGGAGUAAUUGGAGGGCUAGCGAAUGAAAAUGACCCACAAUAGGUAGAGGAGCUUAUAAACCACAGAGAGAAUUCCUGGAAUGAACAUCUUCUUCAAGAAGUUUUCAAAGAGGACACUAGGAAGGAAAUUCUAGCUAUUUGUCUUAGAAAUCACUCUAUUCAAGACAAACUGGUGUGGAAUAGCAAAUUACAUAGUAAAGAGUGGCUAUAACUACAUAAGACUUACCGAGGACAUACGUAAAGCUCCAAUGGCUCUCCUCAUCUUUCUCGGCUCCUCGACCUAUAUAGAAUAAGUGUGGCACCCCUCGACGGCCCCCGAACCGUUAGGGUCGCCACAGUUUGAUUACCAUUCUCUUGCUUGACCUGAAGGUCUAUCAAUCCUAUGGGUUUAUAUCAUUUAGAUCGGUCCUUGUGCAAUUUAUAUGGCGAAAGCGUAUCUAACAACUCCCUUCCCUAUAUUUAUAAAACAAUGCACACCAACUAAACAUCUUAUAUAAGUUAACUCGAACACUUUUAUUUACAUAACUAGAUGGACAUCAUUCGUCGGUAUACCAAAAUGUCAUAGUCUUCUAUACUCGGCUAUACUUCAAAAGAUGACUGACAUCUUUUUUUUUUUUUUGCAACAGUCGUAUACUUAAAGUUCAUCGAUUAGUGUUGGCGUCCAAAAGUUCAUUCCUCUGCUGUCCUCCUCCUCGCGGCCAUAUCCAACCACUCGGUCCAUCUGCUGGUGGCGGUGGCAGUAGAGGUAUCUUGUCUAGUCUGAAAUGUUAAUCCCCAAACGGGGUGAGUACAACCACUCAGCAGUAAAAGAUUCAUCAAGCUAUAUCAAGCAUUACUAUGAAUAUCCAGAUUCAAGUAUGGUAGACAAAAAUCAGGUAGUUGAUGGAUCAAUAUACAUCAAAAUCAUGAAAUCCUUUAAUGCUAUGGCAAAUGCAAUUUUAAAAGAUUUAGAUGCAUCAUGUCCAGUUACACCAAUCCCGAUUAUGGGGCCAAACCGUGAUGACACGUCCUAUUUCAUGCCAUACAAUUUAGUCUCAUAACUAGACCACACUCACACUUAAUAUAAUAAUCAGUUUUAAUCAUUCAAACGGUUUUAUCCCCCCCCCAAAGGACCAAUGUUUGCAUCCUUCUUGGGAUUCCGCACCCAACCCUGGCGUCGCGGAGGCCUCCGGGCAUGUAUUCAAAAUACAACCAGGCAUCCAAAGGGCAUCGACUUAUUCGAACCUUUGAGCAUCUCGCACCCCACCUGGUAUCAUGAGGAAUUACUGGGGACCAUAGGCAUGGUUACCCCAAACCUUUAGGCAUGCAUCAUAAUACAACCCCUCACCCUUCGGGCAUGUAUCAUAAUACAACCGGACAUCCCCACACUCCCGAGGAAAAACCUCUGGGCAUGUAUUCACAAUACAACCAGGCAUCCAAAGGGCAUUGACUCAUUCGAACCUCUGGGCAUCCCGACUCCCGGGGCAUCGUUGACCCGAGGGUCCAACGGUAACAAUUAAUAUCUUAAUUCCCAAAAACUCUAUUCAAUGCAAUGAAAAAAUGUCUCUUGAGUCUCAUCACAUCUCAAUAUUGCAUGAUAUGCCAAUUCCAGUAUCAUCAUAUCACAUAACCAUUACAAAACAUAUUCACUUUUGGGACAUUUUGUGAAAAUUCGAAAAUAGAGCAACUUGAUUUUACCAUGCACAGUUCUGGUAAAUAUUUCUAAAUAAAUACUAAAUGAGCUCGGAAAAUUGUGAAAUUUUAACAUGUUAUCAAUGAGACUUUAAGAAAAAAUUUUUGUGAAGAACACCAUGUCAAAUUCCUUACGUAUCAAGAGUAAAAAUUCCGGUAUUCCUUAUUGACGUUCUGUAAAAUUUCUAGAUUUAACAUUUCCAUAUAAAAAUCAUUUUGUCGACCAAAUAUUGUCCAUUUAUGCUAAAAAAUUUUAUAUGUUACUUCUACAGAUAUGUUCUCCAACUUUCAUUAAGGACUCGAAAGUCAAAUUUUAGCUAGAAAAUUACAGAAAAAUCAAAAAUUCACCGAGGGUCACACUGUCCUUCACAAAACAGUCCAUUAACCUAAUUGAGAGUUUUUUUUCCUACUCCUUGAAUUUCGACCUCCAACAUCCACAAUCAAAUAGAUACAAGUGUAUUACACUAUAACACAGCCUUAUCACUUCCAAAAAUCCUCCAUAGUCAGAUUUUUAAAUUCUUGUUCCAUCUCAAAUUCGAAAUCCACAAUGCAUGCCCUGUUUUUCCUAGUUUUCUUGAUCUAGCUUCAUCUUACAUGUCCAAAAUCCAACAUGCAGCUCUAAAAUUUCACCUUUCUCACGUCCACCAACUCUUAGUUAGAUAAAACAGCAAGCAAAACAUAGAUUGAAGAACUUCUACUUGCCUUAAACAUCUCUACUCGAUCGCUGGCCAAAAACAGGGGUUCGGGAGGGUCUUGGCUUAGCUCAACAGCGGCGGGGAUCGGCGGCAUCAACGGCGACAGCUUGGACAUGGUGGAAGACGGCCUUCCUCUUCCCCCUUGCGGCUCAUGCCCGUACGCUCGCUCACCCUCUCUUUCGGUCUCUCACUCGACCCUCUCUCCCUCUCUCAAUUGCUCGGUUCACUCCCUUUCUCUCUCUGCCCUUCAAUUCCGAAACCCUCUCCCUUUUUGUUUCCUAAAUUGGCUAGCAAUCAUUUGAUUUUGCAUGCAGGAGACACUUGGUUCCAAGAGGAAGACAAGUGGCUUCACAGAAUGAACAAGUGGAGGCAAUCAAAGACAAGUGUUGGAUGGCAUCCCUCACCCCCCCCCUUUUUUUUUCUUGGUCUGGUCGACAUUCUUGGGGGGCUUUUUGGGCUUGCUUGGGCCCGAAAUUUUGGGCCCAAAGUCCUUAAAAUAAAAGCCCAAAUUAAUUUAAUAUCCCCAUAAUCAAAUUGUUUCAUAUACAAGGAUAAAAUCGAAAUUCUUGCGUGCUGUCCAACAUUCUCAAAAAUUUUAUUCUUUAAAUUUCAGCAUGCACAUUCCUUACGAAAGACCGAAUUCCAUCCUUUCGGUUCAAAAAAAAAUAUUAAUCAAUCAUAGUCCAAAGAUUUUCUCUUGUUGCAUGGUUGAUCAAUCCAUCGCUUAACAUACUAUACCAAUCUGACAAAUAAACAAAUACGGAUGACUGCCUGUCAUUUAUACCAUUGCUAUAGUUCGAUAAUACUUUUAUCGAUUGGUCAUGACCGUCACCUGUCUAAGGAUCGUUGAAAUUCUUGGAUGCCACAAUAAGAUCUGGAAAAUGCAAACAAUCUCUAAAAUUAAGUUCUUCCUUUGGAAUGCAUGUCAGAAUAGUCUACCUACAAUGGAGAACUUACACAAGCGAAAAAUGGUAGUGGAUCCUCUUUGCUUCCUAAGUAAAGGUAAGGUGGAAUCCAAAGAGUAUCUCCUCCUUUGUCCUUGGACGCAAGAAAUUUGGGCCCAACCAUCCCUAAACAUUCAAAAAACCUACCUUCUCUAGUGCUUGUAGCAACCAUCUUUAAAGGUCAACAUCGAUGGAUCCUUCAUUGAAAGCUCUACGGAAGGAGCAAUCACCUGUAUUAUCCGAAACUCAGGGGGAACGCUUGUGGAUGAGAAAAUAUUGGAAACACUAGACUUCUUACUCCCUCGAAGACAUGAUCCCCUCAAGUUAAGAGUAAGACAAUCUGACUUUAGUUAAAGCUAUGUAGAAUCCAGAUCCUAUUCCAUGGGAUGCACACGCAAUCAUCUCCCAAUGCCUUGAUCUGUCAUCCAGCUUCUCACAUCUGCGUAUCACCCGUUGCCAUUGUGAAGCCAACUCUAUUGUGGACUGGGCCGCAAAAGCUCAGUGCCAAAAAACUCUGCCAAGGGAUUGGAUUUCUUCCCCUCCCCAAAUCUUGUUGGAUUUACUUUGUAAGGAAGCCCGGUUUUUGGGCCCUGCGUUUUCAAAUUGAAUUAAAGUUAAUCAAUUUAUGACCAAAAAAAGAAAAAAUUGGCUUCGUAACUGAAUAAGCAUAUCACCGAGUCAAUAGGUAAUUCACCACCUCUAGUGAUUCGCUAUAUAAUCCGCAUAUUCCAUGAUAUCCGCAUGGUUUAUGAUAACAACAUGUCCUACACCCAUAGAUAUGGAAAUAAGAUACAUCCAAUAAUAGGUGAGAAUGUCAUAUGCCAAUAAUAUAUAUAAAAUCUAUCAAUCAAAUUUAAAAGGUUAGAUCUAUUUAUCGUAUAUAACUGUGCCGGGAGAACUUGAGGCAAAGUUGGUGUAAAUUUUUGAAUGCAUUUUGUCCUAUUGAAUUGGUUAAAUGAAAACAUAGAAAGUGGGUUGUAAUUUUUAGUAAAUUGAAUCAAAACUGGACAGGAAUAGGACAUCGAGUGCGUAUUCAUCAUCCAUUCCGAAUCCUCCCACAUGGUUAGUAUAGCGAGUCUUUCAUCAAUCAGGGCUUCAGUAUCCCAAAUAGAGUGCAGUCUCAAAUGCACAUACCUAGACUCUAGUGACCUUGCUCUUCACACCAGAAACAUCAUCAAAUUUGGUUCAACGUCUAUCAUUCUGAUAGCAAAAUUAACCACGGUAAGAUUUCAACUUCAGGAAACUGUGUCUCCGAGACAUCCGACGGCAGCGGAUACAUCAAAUCCAAACCAACUCCAACCGCAGCUUCCCAAAGUAGAAACCUCUUAACUUCUUUAUUGACCCGACAAAGUUUAGCAGGCAAAUAUCGAAUGGCUUCCAUUUAAGCACGAAAAACCAAACCGAAAAUCACAGACAACUCCCUUCAAAUAAAGAUUCCAACAAAGCUCCAUGCAGGUGCCAUUUAUGGUGGCAAAUUGAAAUACAAUUGCAAAUUAUUGGGCACUAUAUCAACCUGAUUGGCAAGACAUUCAGUAUUUCAGAAAUCUUUUAUGUUCACAAACGGUUUCAGCUCUGCAAAGCUUUCUAUAGAAGGUGAUAAGGGCAAUAUGGGAUAACAACAUGUGGACAUCCUUACCGUUCCACGGAUGUAUCAUCAGCAUUUGGAGAAGUCCAAGCAACAUUGAGCUUCCUUUUAGAAUUGCCUUUCGAAAGCUCUUUCGGGCAUCUCGGCAUUUACAUCACAACCAGAUGGAUGAUAAUCAAAUCCUAUUAGUGAAUCAAAUCAAAUCGAUCUAGCAAUUAACAUCAGCGAACUACUAAUAUUACACCAAAGUUCAUAGAUCUUUCUUUGUAAAACUCAAUAUUAAUUUCCCUUUUGAACUCUUUCGAUCCAACUAAUACGCAUCAUAGUGAAUUCAACUUAAGUCGCUUGCUUUUGUGGUAUAUUGUAUAAUUAUUUUCAUUUCAUCAUGUGCUAUUCAUAUAUCAGAAUGAAUGCAAGAUAGUUUUCAAACGGCAUACAAGAUAAAGGAAAGUUUCUUCAAGAAACUUUGGGGAAUGCUUCCUGUGUUUUUUCUUGUCUCCAAGUAAAUGCACAAAUAAGAGAUUAUGCAUAAUAUAAGGGAUUAUUAUACAGUGCAAUCGAUUAUUCCAAAAGGCAUUAUCGUUCAUGUCUGCUAUCUUGAUUAUUUGCUUGACUCAAAGGUUUGGUAAUGGAUAGAUGACUUUGCUAACUAUCAAAAUAUUAAGAAGUAUUCUUCGGACUAAUCUAUUAAUUAUCUUGGACUUUUAGGUACAUCACGGAUUGACAACAGACGAACAUGGAUUUUAUAAUAAGCAAAAUAUAAGUUGCAAUUUUAUCGAUUGCUCCCAACAAUUCACAAUAGUUUUGCUUCUAGCCUGUUUGCUAGUUUAUUCACAACCAACCCGCUAGGAGAAGAGUUAGUUCUAGCAUUUAGGAUGCGUUUGGUCGUCUAAAUUUCUAAACGGGAUAGGAUUGGAUAUGAUAGGAUAAGAAAUCCAUGGAUUUCUUCAUAUCCCAUCAACUGUUUGGUGAAUUAUGGAUUUAAAGUCGGAUAUUUUCAUAUCCUAUCCAAUCUACUGUUUGGUGAACUACGGAUUUAAAGUCGGAUAUUCUCAUAUCCUAUCCAAUCUAUCGUUUGGUGAACUACGGAUUUAAAUUCGGAUAUUUUUAAAACAAUAACAUUAGGCAAGUACAAAUUUGCAGGUUUAAUAUUCACAAAAUCAUCCAAAACAAUAUAUCUUUUUCAAAUUAACAGAUUCUCAUUGAAUUUCAUGAUUACGCAUUGUAAUAAUCUUUUCCAUUCCUUUGAAAUAAUCUUUUGGAUACCCCCUUCAAUAUCAAACGUUUUUAGAAUAACCUCAAUUUCAUUAUAUUCACUUUGAAACAUGAAUUCUUUUUCUCUCUUACAAGUUUUUCAUUUGUUUCUAUUUUUUUAUAGGUCCAAUACCAAAUCAUGGCUAGGUUUUUUGCCAAAGAGUUAGAGAAACUAUUUAUGAAAAUAAAAUACAGAGGCAAAGAAUAUUAUAGAUAAUGGUUUUCUUGGCAAUGAACAUAGAGAUAAAGUUUCAAGCCAUAUCCACUUCUUUUCAAGUCAUUGCUACAACUAAAAGGUCCAAAAAGAUAACAUUAAAACUUAUAGCUAGCUCCAAAAACCCUUUAAAAAAAACAUAAAGAAGAAAAAAAGAAAAAGCAUGGAGAGAAAACAUAUCUCCUACAAACUCAUAAACAACUCAAUCAUCACUCAUUCUCUUCUCUCAUCUCUUGGAGAGGUAAUUCCACAAAUGCUUUCCUGUCAUCUCCUUGAAAUCCCAAAAAUAGAUGAAUAUUCUCAAGAUCCUUCACAAUUUUUCUACAUAAUUUUAUUCUAUCCAUAGUACCUAAAGACAUUUGAAGAAGCUCCUCAUUGAUUUUUUGCUUGUCAUUAUCCAAAUCCUUGGCAUGUUCGAUGCGGCUAGCGAUCAUCUCCAUUCUCUCGUUAGCUUUUUCCAAGAAUGAACCAAAAGUUCCUACUAUCUCAACUAAGCCAUCAGCCCAUUUGUCACUUGCUUUAGCCCUUUUUAUUUUUGAAGAAUCAUAAACAUUUUGUGCCUGAGAAGAUGAUAGUGGCAGUGAUUUUUGACUUACACCGUUGGUUGCCACAUUAUCAUGAUUUUCACCUUUCUCAUGAUCUACAGCUGCAUGAGCUUCUGAAGGGUCUUCACUGAGAUUUCCCUUGGCACGAUCUUUUCCAAAUACGAUUGCUAGUCAAUCAUAUUGAGGGAAGGACUUCCCUCUCAAAGAAGCAGCUCCUGGAUAGGUCUACAAAGAAAAUUAUAUUAUUUUGUUAAAAAUUAAACAAUUAAUAAAGAAGACAAAUAAGAAGAAGUGACACAAACCUUGCAAUAUUUUGCCCAACUAUCCUCAGAAUGAAUAUCGACACAAUGCUUUUCAUGGUCCCACCUAAAGCCACUUUGAUUCCUCAAGUCAUAUAUUUGAUUAUACAACUUUUUCAAAUUUUUCAUUUUCAACUCUUUGUGAGGAUUACCCUUGAUGCUAGAACAAGGGAACUUUUCUUCAAACCACUUUUCUAACAUAACCAUGUAACCACUCUUGAAGCCGUUAUUGGCUUUCAUUCCUCGCAUAACUAAUUCUUCAAGACCAUCUAGAAGUGCAUUUUCUUCAUCUAUUGUCCAUAUACGUCAGUCUCUCUUUGUUCCCCUUCCUUGAGUUUGACUGAAACUGCUACCUUCCAUUCCUAAACAGAAAACUAACUCAGCAUAUAUGUUGAUUGAGCCACUCCCAGAUUUCUUAAAGUAACAAAAAACAGAGAAACAAAAAACUAACUCAGCAUUCAAUCAGCCAUGAUAUUCAACCCACACAACAAGAUAUAGCCUUCCCUCACAAGCGAUGUGAUAUCAAUAGUGACUUUGCCUCACAUAAGCAAAAUGGAAAUGGUAGAAACGAUAUGUCUAGGUAAGUAAUCGAUUCCUUCUCCCACUAAAGCAAAUAUCAUCGACACUCAACACAGACACUGACAGAACAGCAAAUGUGCUAUAGAUUGACCUCAAAACAGCAGAUGCAAAUAUCAUACGAUAAUAUCUUGCAAUUUCUACUAAAUACAGGGAUCUCCUUCAUUGCUUGAACUUUUCUUACUAGAAAGAAAUUUACUUGAGAUUUACCUGGAGUGAGAAGAUCAAUACAUAAUGUAUGACCUAUAAAGGCAUAAUCAAUAGGGUUUUACAUUUGGGUUAUACUUUUACUUUUUGCUAAUCGGGCCAUGUUAACAACCCCACUCACUGCAAUCUAUCAAUGAUCUUGAUUAAUUCUCCAAAGAGUAGAACAAUGUAGCAUUGAAUGUCAUAUUUUCAAUAUCAAUGCUAGGUUUAUACAUAUACGUUUAUAUAUCUAUUCCUAAAUAAAUUUAUAAUGGAACUCCAGCACAUGCUACAUGAAAAGGUCCCAAACAAAAGGAGUGUGCAAGAAUUAUAACCAAAGAAACUUUCAAAUAUAUGCCAAAUUGAUUCCUAGUGUAAUAAAAAGACCCUAGUGCAUUAGAGAUCAAUCUCAUUGAGAAUCAAUCUUUUAGUGGGGGGCUAUAGAAGCAAUGUAUUGAACUAACUGUGAACAGUAAAUCUUCAAGAUGGCAAUAAAUUCUCCUAGUGCAAGGGAAUAGAAAGGGAUUAAUAAGCAGGGCUUUUCCCACAUCCAUGGCGUGCUUCUCUUUGUCAAUCAUUUUCCUUUUAAACUCAAGCAAUCAAGCAUGAGUCUCAAGUUCAUAAAAAAAAACCACCCAUAUAUUGUACAUACUUUUAGAAUAAUUUGCAUUACAUGCACAUUCAAACUAUCAAAUCCAAAUCCAUAAAAAAAAAAAAAAAAAAAAAAAAAAAAAAAAAAAACUACCCAUAGCUUGUGCACUCUUCCCCUCUGGCCCACAACGCCCAUCCAUCCAAUUUGAUGUUUACCGAGAAAGAAGAAACAAGAGGAGUUUGCCUAAUUAGAAGAUUAAAAGCUACUUUGAUGUUUCACCUUUCUUCUACAACACACGACAUUUUCAUCGUCAUUAACAACGAAUCAACAUUUGGCAAGCCUCUUAUCUAACUUAUUCGGUUUUCGAAAGCUAAUAUGGGAAGCUCGUAAAUCCACUUGUCUAUUCUUGUUAAGAAGCUAAUCGGGGAGUCUUUGGUCCAAUUACACGUGAAGGAACGCCACAAAAUACAAAUGGGUAUUUUAGUCAUUCUGAGCAAGGAUUUCAUCAAACCGAACACUUCAGGGAAAAUCCAAAAUAAGUUAGAAGAGAAUCGUACCGUGUUCAUGGUCACUACUGCCGGGAAAGGGCUUCGUGAAGAUGAAAAUCGAUGGCUCCUGGUCUUGGCUAGCCGAUUCGUCGGAGGGUCGGUUGCCGGAGUCGCUUGGGAUGACCGGGGGACAUUGAUCCUUGGGUUUGCAAAGAAGGUCGUGGCCUCCUCUGCUCUGCACACGGAAAAACUAGCCCUCAAAGAAGCGUCUGUUGCUGGUUGGGCGAGGAAAGGGAGAGAGAAUGAUUGUUUACCUUUGAAAAUUUGUUGCUUUCGUAAAAUUUUGAUGAGAAUCGAAGAGCUACUGAGGAGAAAGCUUCAACGUCGAUACUUUGGAAAUAGAGAGUCAUCUGUGGGUGAACGACGGAGAAAGAAAAAAAAAGCGUAGGGUUUUAUGUUUCAGAUAAAAGAAAUUCUAUCUGACUUUAUCCCACCCCCCUCGGAUUUUUUUAUCCGGUCUAUAUCCCUUCUAUAUCCGAGCUUAUCCUAUUUUAGACAGCUACCAAACACGGGAUAAGAUAAAACAUAUCAUAUCCUGAUUUUUAUCCAGUUGACUAAACGCAGCCUUAGUGUUUCGUCACUAAUACAAUUACAUUAAUAAGCUAAUGUGGACAUUCAGCGAGAUAAAAUGUGGGAAACACAACGGCUUGACAAAAUUAUCCCAAGUUGUACCUUAGAAUCCUAAAUUCACUCUUAACCGUACCUUAGAAAUAUGCAAUCAUAAACUGUACGAAGAACGCAGAGCAAACUAAGACCUCACAUCAGAAGACUGAAAACAACAAUGCACUUAAAAGGCCUUUCAACCAUUUCCAUGAACCUCGCCCCUGGAUUGCUUGAAUUAAAACAAGAAAACAAUAACACUGUCAACAAGGAAAUACUAAUGAAAAGUUGAUAAAAGUCAAAAGAAGUUGCAAUCAGCAAAUACAAAUGAAAAUUGGAUGAUAGAUCUCCAAAGGAAAAAAGGUAGCUUAACUGCUUUAUGUACCUGUUUUAGGAAAUGCAGAUCAUCUCAACUAUUCUAACUUAUCCGAGUCGUCUUGUCCCAAUAACCAACCCCUAGCUCCUAAACCCAUCGCAUGUUGCUCUAGCUCGUAAUUUUGAUAAAGCUGCCCUCUAGAUAAUUCUGGUAUUGUCUUGAGAGACUUGCAUCCAGAAAUGUCCAAUUCCACAAGUUGCUGCAAUUUCUCGAGCCCUUGAAGCUCAGUCAGUUUCACACAAUUUUGCACAAUCAGACACUCCAAGUUGGUACAUGAUGAAAAAUCAGGUAAGAUCUCAAUCGAUGAACAUCCCAAGAUAACAAUAAAUCGUAGGGAUGUCAACUUCUCAAAUCCUGGGAUCUCCCGAAGUUCAUCACAAUUUAACAGGUACAAAUACCGUAAAUUAUGAAAAUUUGACAAGUUUGGUAAUUUUGCUAAGAACUCGAAUCCCUUAUUAAUAAAGUCUCACAGGAUGUGAGUCUCUUUAGGUUCUGAGUAUCAUGAAGCUUGUCACAGUUAACAAUUUCCAAAAUUCGUAAGGUGUCAAAGCAACAUAAAUUUGGUAACCUUACAAGGGAAGUGCACUCAGAGAUUCUUAACACUUCCAAAAACUCCAAUUUAUCGAGGCCUUGAAUUUCGACUAAGUUUUUGCACUGGAGAACUUCUAAUUUCUUCAAACCCUUACAUUUUGAAAGGUCCAGCUGUUCAAUUGCAGAGCAAAGACGGAUCUUUAUCUCUCUCAAGAACUUCAAACCCUCAGAUUUUGAAAGGUCUAGCCGUUUAAUUGCAUCGCACCCAAAGAUUCUUAUAUUUCUUAAGAACUUCAAACCCUUAGAGUUUGAAAGGUCCAGCUGUUCAAUUGCAUCGCACCGUACGAUCAUUAUCUCUCUCAAGAACUUCAACUUAUUGAGGCCCUGAAUUUCGACUAAGUUUUCACAGAAUUGAAGAUGUAAAGUCCUCAGACCAUUGGAUUUUGAAAGGUCCAACCUUUCAAUCGAAACCCGCGAGAUCUUAAGGAAUUCCAAGAGCAUCAUCCUAUCAAGGCCUUGAAUUUCGACUAAGUUUUUGCAACCAUGACAACGUAGCCUUUCAAUUGAAGGGCAAUAAUUGAUCUUUAAUUCUUUCAAGAAAUCCAACCGAUUGAGGCUUUGAAUCUCGACUAUGUUUUUGCAAUCCUUAACACUUACUGUCUUCAAAUUCUCAGAUUUUGGAAGAUCCAGCCUUUCAAUUGAAUCACACUUUGUGAUGAUCAAGCUUUCCAAAUAUAUCAAUUUGUCAAGACCUCGAACUUCAUGCAUGUUAUGGCAAUGCUCAAUAAAUAAUGUCCUCAACUGGUUCAAUUGUGAAAUGUCCAUUAUUUCCCCAAAUGUGACGUUUGAAGCUUUUAAAUCUCGGAGCUUUCUCAUCCUAAAAAUACCAUUGGUUAAUUCUAACAUGCCAAAGGUACCACCAAUAUGCAGAAUUUCUAGAUUUUGUAAAGCUCCUAUGCUAUCUGGCAGCACCUUGAGUCUAAAACACUCCUCCAACUUCAAGCGUACCAGGUUCUUCAAGUCUCCGAUAGAAGAGUCAAUUUGCUCUAAUUUCAAACAAUGACAGAGUAUCAGAACCUCUAAAUUCUUAAAAGCUGAGAGGAAGACUGUGCUUCUUAAGGAUUGACAAUCUGUAAGGUCAAGAACUUUUAACUUCUCUGCCAUCUGGAAAAAAACAUAACAAUAAAAAUCGAGGGUUAGCCUAGAGCAAUUAUGAUUCCAAAGAAUGCAGAAAAAGAAAACUUAUUCUUCAAUCUUACCAUGGAACUCCAUCCUUGCCAUUCAUUUGAGAUCUUGCUCAAAGACAAAUCGAGUACGACUAAUUCCGUUAGGCGAAAAUUAUUUGCUUCAAAAGUUGAGGGACAACCCCGCCAUCGAAGCCAUUUUAACUCCCCCAUUGAAUUCUCAAAAUCUCCUCUAAGACAUGCCCCACUCACAUCAAGGAACCUUAGACCUGUUAACUUCUUGAAUUGCUCAGCUUCAAAAUUCUCGAAUUUCUCAGCCUCAAAAUUCUCGAAUGGCCCAGCCUCAACAUUCUCGAAUGGCUCAUCAAAGUGGGAAUGGUGAACUUUGUUAAAAUAAAUGGCCUUAAUAUUUUCUGUUCCCUGUAGGUAACCAUCAAUGUUCGUUAAUCCUAUUUAUAUCCAACAAAACUAAUCUAAUAUUAUUUGUUCAUAUUGCUAUAACAUGCAUAGACGUUCUUAAGAGACUAGUAAAGUAUCGACAUAUCAACUUUGAUAUUGAAAUGUGGCCAUACGUACUUGGAUCUUAAAAAGAAUUAUAAUGUUCUCUUUUUUUGGUUUUUUUUUUAAUUUUAGUUUGUAUAAUAGUUUGUAUAGUAUUACUCUUUAGUAUAAUGGCUCAUAAAGGGAAAAACUUUACAACUUGCAAAUCCUCUUCUUUCCGCUAAUUUAGCCGCAUUACUAUAUUAGUUAGGAGUUAGGACGUACAUUCAAUGCACAGGAUUUCACAUUAUGAAGUCCUUUUCUUUUCCGCUUCUUCUUAUGUAUAAAUUUCAUAUAUGUUACUUGAGUGUGCUACUUACCCCAUUAAUAAAAACUAACAUAUACUCACUGUUGUUUUUCCCAUUGGAGUAAUGUAUAAUUAUAAGUAACUGAACUUGUGAUGGUAGUCAUAUUAAUAUCCUGUGUAAUUUAUUUCAUUAUUACUAAUAACUAAAAUAUCAUUAAUCAAUUACUUUCUAAUUAUAGUAUUAUAUUCUCUAUAACAUUGUUUUAGCGUAAAUUAUGACUUAAUUAUAGAUUACAAUUUGAUUUAUUCUAAACAAAUCAUAACUAUAGAUGAUUGAAAUAUUGAAAUAUAAUAAAUGUAAUAUCAUAGAUCUAAUAACUUUGGUCCAUUCAAAUAUAAUCAGUUAUUAAAUAUGCAAAGUCAUUGCUGAAAUAUGAAAAUUGAAGCUAUGCUUAGCUACAUGGAAUAGUUUUUCCUUGGCCCCCUAAAAAUAACUAUUCCUGAUUUUGGGAGAAUAGUAAUACCUAAUCUAUUUUUGAAUAAAGCGAAAUAAUAACUGCUUCAUCAGAACAAAUGAUAAAUAGAAUAGCUAUUCUUGCGAACCAUUGUAGCAAGCUUUCAUCAAGAAAAAUCACUAAAGCAUUCGAAGUCGAGAAAAUUCAGGGAUUUACACAAUUUAGUUUCUCCGAACAUGAAAAUUUCCUUUGGUACUUCACAUUGUUGUACAAGAUUUCAUGGAUACUGAAAGGAGAAUGACGUAACUAGUGGAGGAGGAAAUAGAUUUCAACACCUAAAAGGAAUCCAAGUUAAGAGUAAUAAAAAAAAAAGGAAGCAACCUCCAAAAGAAGUAAUCAUACUCAGAUUAGUCAUUUCGCUCGUAAGCUUCCCUAAAAAUAUCAAGAAAUCCUAUCUGUCAUCAAGAAUUCUUUGUUUUCAACUGUGUAUCUUUUUCACUUUCAAGAAUCGAUCCAUAAAUUUUGAGUAUACUUACAGCCAAAUCCCAAAAACAAUCCCAACUUUUUGUACUUGGGACAAAGGUAGCACAAUCUUUCAAUCAUACCAAAAAAAUGCCUAACCUUUUACAUCUAGAGCAAAUAUUACAUAACCUUUCAAAAGCAUAUUAAAAAAAAAAAAAAAAAACCAAUCAUCUACCCGUGGAAGAAAGCUAACACCCGCUACAAUUGUCGUCCAUUGUCAUCGUUAUAUCACCACAAAUACCCACAUGGUUCACUGUGCUGACGUACACAGCAAACCAUAUCAACAAGCGCAAAAAACUACGUUGUUUUUCUAUUUUUAAUAACCUUUGUACCUAAUUUUUAGCAUUUUGAAAUAUAAAAAUCUAUUUGUGAUCAUGAUUAUUGUGGUUUACUGUGUAUGUUCGCGCAUUGAGCUGUGUAGACAAUGCAUGGCGAUUUAAAGUGUGAAUAAGCAGAAUUUGUAAAGGGUGUCAAUUUUGUCCACUGAAUGAAAAGUUGUAAUAUUUUCGGCCAGCAUGCAAAAAGGCUAGACUUCUUUUUACGCUCUUUUAAACUUUGUGUUAUUUUUCUCUCAGUUGCAACACUUUGUAUUUUUAUUUAUUUGGUUGUAUACUCAAUAAUACCCAUGGAGUGAGUUAUGAAUGUGUUUCAAUUAUGAUUUAUAUGUCAUUCGUUUCCUGUUUAUGUAAGUUGUAUUGUCUAUGCUUCUCACUUCGCAUGGGUUUUAUCAAAGUUGAUCCCAUUUUUAGAUAAUAUAAAUGAAAGUAACUUUAGGUAUUUUGAUUAAAUGUAGGAAUAAACUUUAAAGAUCUUAUAUCAGUUUUACUGAAAGCACUUUGAUUUUGACUUAUGAUAGUAACUUGAAUUGAACGAACCGAAAGUAUAUCCUGCAAAAAUACUGAAAUAAUUAUGUCAAACAUGCACCUUUUCAAUAGUAAAAGUUAAUUUUACCAGUUUAUUUAGAUAUAAAGUAGACAGGAUAUUCAUUUUUCUUUUGGUUAGUUUAGCUUAUUUCUGAUGUAAUAUGAAAGACAUAAUAAAUAGACAUAGUCUUUGAAUUUGUUAAUACAUGAAUUGGCUAUUGAUAUUAUGCAAGUUCGCAUAUUGAGAAUGCAAAUAGGUGCUAGUCUUUUGAGCAACAACUUGAGUCAAACCAUAUAAUGGAUUAGUAGUAGAGUCAAAAUCACAAUUAGUUACACAAAUGCCGCCAUAUUCACUCAUAUCAUACUAAUUUGAGAAAAUUUUAAAUAAGGAUAUGAAGUGGAGUUGUUUUCUCAAAAGAAGACCUGAAAUGGACGAAAUAGUGAAUUUAGUCUCAAAUAAGGACUUUGGCAUGGAUUUUACUUUGUGUUACAAAAUGCUCAAUGUGGUUGCGAUUGUGCUCUGGAUUGUUCUGGCUUGAACAAGAGAGAAUCAUAUGACUCUAGAAAAUCUAAUCCAAAGCAGUUGCGGAGACAAAUCGAAACAACAAAAUUUUCGCAUUGCCUCAUAUAAGGGUUUUGCAUCCCAUAAUGCGGUUCACUCGACUAUAAAAAGGUCACAAUUCUAUGUUGUUUACAAGAAGCUCCUAGGCACAAGGUGACUUUGCGAUACACCCUUCCACACGUUCCCUCAAGAAGCUCCCAAAACAAGCCCUUAUCAACAUCACCAUAGCCAUAGUCAAACACCCACAUCCACCCAUUCCCUCUAAGCUCUUUGACAUUCACAAAAUUGCAAUUUCCCGGAACCCCACAAAUUUAAGCUCUACACCUACUAAAGACUCCCUCUUGCAAUCCACGGCCUCGAAAAGAAGGAGAAGAGUAAGGUUAAGGUGUCUCGAGAUGGAAUUGACGUGGUCAAGUUCUCGUCUCUGUUGGUGGAGGAGUUGAGGAAGUGCCGUGAAGAGGCUGUUGAUGGUGACAGGAGGAAUUCAACGUCUUCAGUGGUGGUGACUGGUAUGAUCAUCACAACCAGAGCGAAGGAGGCUUGAGAAAGAUGAAGAAAAAUAAUGAAAAAUGGUUUUGGAUGAGAAUGCCCCCGAAGGUGGAUAGAAUUUGACUAGUUGGUGAGGUUAGAACCUUAUCUGAGACUAAAUUGGCGUCUUGAGACUUUAUUUAAGACAAAAUCCACUUCUUAGCAUCUUUUAAGAAAGCAACUCCACUUCAAGCCUCUGUAUGAAAUUUUCCCUACUAAUUCGAAUUCUAUUAUUUCAUAUCUGAAUUACUAAUUAGUUAUGGUUUAAAGUGACAUGAUCAAGUUAUUUAUUGCACGUGUGAAGGACAAAACUGAAUUGGGGUGCGUUUGGUUCGUGAAACUCAAAAUUUGAAAAAUAUUUCUCUAAAAAUGAUUGCUUAUGCAGCUUUCAAAAAUGAAUUAGUGAAAAAUAUUUUCAUCAUCCACGAAAAUAGCUAACAUUGUUGAUAAUGAAAAUGUUUUUCGUUGACUAAUUUUUCUAAACAAUUUCUAAACAAUAUAACCAAUCAUUUUUUAAAAAAUAUUUUCCAAACCUUAAGUUUUACGUGAAACAAACACACUUAAAAAUUUGGUAGUUUUUCAAUAUAGACCCCCUUUAUCAGGUAUCUAAUAAAUUUACAAGUACCUCAUCUUUGGAGAUAUAUUUGUAAUGUACAUUUGUUUAAGAAAAAUCUUAGGCAAGCUGCAAUACUUACCAAGACAGAGCAAUCUCCUACUUUCUAAUCACUAAUCACAUCAAUGCAAUGACAUGAGGGUAAUAAUAUUAACAGGUUCUCUACUCACUAGGGCAAGCAUUAAAGUAAAACCCCAACAUCACUCAGACAAGAGAACAUGGACUAAAGGAGCGAAAAAAGAGAAUCUGUUACCUUAUUUUCCUUUAGCACUUUUAGGACUUUCUUCGAUUCCCACAACCUGCUAUGGUAUUGAGGCUCUUCCCACUUCUUCUGGCGAACAAUUUCCCUACCAAGAUCUCUCAAUUGGUCAUGCAUUAUGAGCUCAUGAUUAUCUCCAACUUUUAUUAAUGACAUAGAACUCAAUUUUGCAAUUCCCUCCUCUGGAUAAAAGCCACAGGCGUCCCACAUGUAGGAUGCAAUUCUUCCAUCGGUCCCAAUUAAAAAACAAGCGACAUCCAAAAAUAUUUGUUGUUCACGAUAUUCUAAUGCAUCAUAACUUAUCUUUAACCUUUUUUUCACAUCCUCAUGAGGGACUUCUCUUAACUUUUUUAUCGUACCGCUCCAUCGUUUUGACUCUUUUUUGAACAAUAAUGAACCUAUAACCUGAAGAGACAAGGGAAGCCCCCCAGUUGUGGAUACAACUUCAUGAGCAAGGUCCUCGAAUUCACUUGGAGGAGAGCUCAUUCCAAACGCGUGUCUACAGAACAAGAUCAAAGAUUGGUUCUUAUCCAAUUCCUCAAGUUUAUGGUAGCAGUCCACCCUUGCACUUUCAAGAAUACUCCUGUCUCUUGAGGUAAUAAGGAUCCUACUUCCUGAAUAAAACCAAUUAUGAUUUCCAGCCAAAGCCUUCAACUAAUCAUAAUGGUCCACAUCAUCAAGAAGAAUGAGUACUUUCUUUUUCUUGAACUUGGAUGAGAGCAACAUAGUCCCUUCAUGUUUAUUAUGAACUUGGUUUUCUCCUCCCAAUAUAUCAAAGAUUAGCUUCUUUUGCAAGGACUCAAGGCCCUUAAGGUUACAUGAUUCCCUAAUAUCAGGAAUGAAGCUACGAGAGUCAAAUUGAUCGGAGAGCUUGUUGAAGAUAAUGUUAGCAAGAGUUGUCUUACCAAUGCCUCCCAUUCCAUAGAUGCCAAUAAAUAGGGUGACAUUAGAAUUAUUAGCUACAUCUAUCAUAACCUUCUCCACAGGAUUAUCAAUUCCAACCAAAUUCUUGGGAAUAAGCAAAUCAUAGUCUUUCUUCAGCUUGUUCGACACCGUUUGGACAAUCAAUCUCACUAAUUCUGCUUCAUUCCUGUCAAAGGCGACAAGAGUUCAAGUACGUGGCAACAACAAUUUUAUAUUGUUUAUAUAUUGAGAACAUAAUAACAAAAAUAUCUAAGAAUUGUUUUUGCUACCUCCACGUAUUAUCUUAAUGCUAACAUUAAAGUGAUUAUUGCCGGCGGUUGCUUCACAUGGCUAUUCCAUUAUUAUUCUAAGACAAUUUAUUUAGCGGGAAGAAACUUGAGGUACCGCUAAUAAAUCUUGAAUUUUUAUAUAGUAUCAAUUUGAAUCAAAUUUUAAAAUUUUUGUUUGUUUAGAAUUUUAAGGAUGACGUGGAUGUGACUUUGAAAACUUUCUAAGCAUUUGAAAUAAGCGAAAAUACAAUAAGCCAACUUGGUAUGAGAGUUCAACCAUCAAUCAAAUAGGUAAUAACUUUUGAUGCAAGAGGAAGUUAGUUCCGGUAAUACCAAGCCGGAAAGUUAUCCUAAGUGCCAUAUUGUGAACUACCUAAACACAAUUAGGGGGAUUUCACCUUAUAAUCGCAUGGGUGCAAGUUUCCUCUCAUGUCGUGAAUUUAGUGUCUUUCUAAAUUCAUUUUCUUAUCGAUCUUUAUCGUGUCGAGGGAUGAUAAAAGGUUGUACUUUACUUUCCUUUUUGAGUAUCUUUGUUCUAUGAUUAUAAUUUAUCCAAUGUUGAUUUUACUGCAAGUAGAAGAAUGACUUUUCCAGAAUAAUUUUUCCUCAAAAUAAGAACAAUGCUUCAAUUUAUGCAGGUGUAUGAGGUAAUAAUGUGUUGAAGGAAAUGCAUUGGAAAGAUAUGUAAACAAACAAAUAAUAAGGAUAAUCUAUUUUCCUUUUUAUAUGUACCAUCAUAUGAAAUAUUUCUUUCGGUAAAAAUGAUUAUAAAAGCAACUCAUUAACCACGUUAUAAUUCAAUAAAUGUAGCUUGGGAAGAUAAAGGAUUAUGGCUUUGGCUAUCGACAUGCACGGUAUAUGAUGCUAUUGCUUUGAAUGGGAAGCACCAAUAAGUCGAGAUAUUAGUCUCAAAUAAAUAUGAACUAGAAAAGUCUGUAAUGAAGACUAAUUUAACUUAUAAUUUAAACAUGAAAAAAGAAAUGGUACAGUGUUACAAGGCAUUUGGAUAUGGGUGAAAGUUCAUCUAAAAAAGCUUAUAUUAUUCAAGCGAAUGAGAUCAUUACAUUAGAAUUUAUAAUUAGGUGGGUCAUUAUCGUUAAAGUAAUUCCUAAAACUGAUAACUUAUAACACCCAUGCAUUGCAGGAUCUCAUCCCUUUUUUAAAAAACAAGAGAAACAAAAAGGAAGAAAAGAAUCUGCACCAAAAAAAGGAAGAAAAGAAAGCAGGUAGGAGUCAGAACAACAGUAAACCCCCACACAAAUUAAAAGAAAGUAAAGAAAGUGUUCGGUGAAAAAUGAAGUACCCAUCGGCUUCCCAUCCUUUCAAUUUACCGACUGCUGUGAGUGCUUGCUUAUAUUUCUCCAAAGUCACUGGGUUGAAAGGCUUCUCCCGCUUAAGAAAUGCACCUCCGAAACUUCCACUCUGAUGCCGCACGUCAGUUGGUUUCACUUUGUAGAAUAUAGGCAACACUAUAUGUCCCGUCUUAUUUUUCUUGCACUCCAUUAUUUGAAUCAGUUCAUCAAGGCACCAUUUGCUCAAACAAUAAUUCUCGGAGAGAAUGGGGAUCAAGAUCUUACUGUUCUUGAUGGCUUCCAAGAGAUCGGGGCCGAUCUCCUCGCCUUGGCGGAGCUUAUCGUCCAAGAAAACAUCAAUUCCGGCGUCGAGUAGCCCGCGGUAGAGGUGACUGGUGAAACCUUUUCGAGUAUCUUCACCUCUAAAGUUUAAGAACACCUCGUAAUGGUCCUCAGUCGGCGCGGUCGACGAACUAGAUGCGCCGGAAUCGGUUUCCACCGGAGAGGCCGACGAUCCCGCCGUCCCGGCAUCAGCAUCUUCUGCAUUUCUUCGCGCACUGGCUCUUUUCCUGUUGAGAAAAUUGAAAGCGAGCCCGGAAAGGAGGGUCAAUGCCGCGAGCACGGCGAAAGAGUGCCCAAAAAUGGGAGGAUGCAUUUCUUCUUUGCUCUGGAUUCUGCCCUCUGUUUUAUCUUCUCCGAGUCCGACGGCGAAGAAAACCAGAAUGCCUCUCAAGGAAAUACAGAAGAAGGGUUUAUGGUUCAGACACGCUCUUCCGCAAUGUUCUAUCAUUUUAUCAGCACUUCGCCCUUGCCAUCGUAGCCACAGCGAGGAGAGUCAGAUGUGGGGCCCCUUCGGUGUCGGUCCCUUUUCCCCCCUUUCACGAGAAAAUAUUGGGUGGUCCCGAACCACCCAAUAUUUUCUCGUGAAAGGGGAGAGAGGCGCGUGAGUGGUCCGGGACCACGCUGACGUGGCGGUCCCGGACCACCCAAUAUUUUCUCCUCCCCCUUCACGGUGUUCUGAAAUGUGGGACCACUUGGCGCCUCUCUCAUUUUUUUUGUUUAGGGCCCCUUCGACACCAUUCUCACCGUCAAGUCAACGAUCCAAGUUAACGUACUUUUGAGAAAUUUUCAUUAAAUUUUACCAUUAAAUAAUUACGUCAAAUAACACGUAACAAUUAAUAAAUAUAUCAAUUUAACAUUUUGCCAUCCGUUUAUUAUAAAUAUAUCAAUUUGUGAUUUUUUUUCUAAUAUUAAUCCAAUUUAAUCGAAAUUAACGGAUGAUAAAUUUGUCGUAAAUAUAUCUAUUUAGAUUUUAAAAUUUGAAUUAAAUUUUUCAUAAAUAUAUUAAUUUUAAAUUUUUAUAAAUAAAAAUUAAUUUAAAGUAAAUUUAUCUAAUUUGUGAUUUUCAUGAUGUUAACUCUUUACCAUUUUAUUUUAGCCCUUGCCUUUUCCAUUGGCCACAUCCUUUCAUUCCCUCGAUCUUGUGCAUUUCUUCCUCUUCUUCCUCUUCAUCUCCGUCUCACUUCUCCGAGUGCUCUCGCUCUCUCUCUACGCCGUUCCUCAACUGAUGUGGUUAAAGCUCUCAUUGAAUUCGUUCUUUUUUUCGACCAAAAAAGAAUUCGUUCCUUGCAGAACCGUACUCUUCUUCACUUAUCUUGAUUACGUUGGGAAAUAGAAAUGGUGAAUGUCGCCGUGCAUAUUUCUUCGCCUUUUCCUUCCUUGGGUUGAGCUUGCCUGAUUUCUCCACCCUGCGUGGGUCUCCUAUGGUCAAAUCAGAAACGCUGGGAAAAUAGUUUAAAUGGUGCUAGGGAGCAGGUCUUGUGGAAGUUAUGUUUAUCAAGAGAUCACGUCGGAUCGUGUCAAGCAUUCGAAGGAUGGAUACCAUUCAUAUACCAAAUGCCGGUGUGCUGCACACGUGCGAUCAUUACUUAAAUGUCUUUCAACAUUGGUACACCCAUUCAACUAUUCAUAAGAUUGGAGUACUUGGUCGAUCGCGUGGUUGCCCCUCUAGUGAUGUGAGUCGUAACAUGAAGGAAGAGAUGCAGCCUUUCCAAUUUAUUUUUCAGGAUGAAGAAUCCACCAAAGCAAGGAGGAAAAUCUCUCUGAUCAAUCCAUCCCACCUUUGAACAACUAGUAGCUCCGAUCAAUGAUGAGACAGAACCGCGUCGUAGAAGGUCAUGUCAGAAAGCGAAAGGAAAAAAGAAGAAACAAACGAGAAAAGAGGGACACCGAAAGGUAAGUGAUUUAUUGUUGAGGAUGGAAAAAUCCUCUAAAGCAAGGGGGAAAAUUUCACUGAUCAAUCCAUCCUAUGUUUAGACAGUUAAUAGCUCUAAUCAAUGAUGAGACAGAAUGCGUCGUGAAAGGUCAUGUUGGAAAGCAAAAAAAAAAAAAAAAAAAAAAAAGAAACAAACGAGAAAAGAUGAACACUGAAAGGUAAGUGAUUUAUUCUUUAGGACGAAGAAUCCUCUAAAGCAAGGGGGAAAAUUUCACUGAUCAAUCCAUCCUAUGUUUAGACAGUUAAUAGCUCUAAUCAAUGAUGAGACAGAACCGUGUCGUGGAAGGUCAUGUCGGAAAGCAAAAGGAAAAAAGAAGACACAAACGAGAAAAGAGCGAUGCCAAAAGGUAAGUGAUUUAUUCUUUAGGAUGAAGAAUCCCCUAAAGUGAGGGUUAAAAUUUCACUAAUCAAUCCAUCCUACCUUAGACAGCUAAUAGCUCAAAUAUGAGACAGAACAAUGUCAUGGAAGGUAGAAGAAACAAAUGAGAGAAGAGGGACACUAAAAAGUAUAGAGGUGAUCGGUUUCGAUCAAUAUGGUUCCACUUAGGAAUCGAUGACCAAAUUAGGAGAAUCGAUUCCCAAGUUUUGGGGCUAGGAACCAAAUGAGACUGAUGUAGGACUAAGAACUAGAUCGAACCGACUUGGUCCCAUGAAAUCAAUUACUUAGCAAAACAAAAAAAUUAAAAAAAAAUGAAGAAAAAUACAAGAAUUAUUACUCUUUUUAAGUUUUAUUGCUAUUUAAAAAAUAUAUUAUUUUUUUAAAAAGGUUGGUCCAAUCGGUCUGAUUUGGUUCGAUGCCUCUUCAGAAUCAGGAAUUGGACCAAUAAUCACUGGUUCCAUUUUUACGAAAUCGAGAACCAAACCGAUCCCUCUAGGAAUCGGACCAAACCAACCAACCCGGGUGAUUCCUGAUUUUGACGGUCUGGCAUGCUAUAUUAGGAUAGAUAUUUCUAAAACUGAUCAAUUUAUGAAAAAUAUUUUUUUUAUGAAUUAAAAACAAUGUGAUUAAAUCAAUGGAAAAUGACUUCCUCUUUUGCCAAGAUGAAAAUCAUUUUUUUUCUAAAUAACCAGAAAAAAAAAACUUAAAUUUUCUCAAAUAAUUAUUUUUAUAAAAAAUAUUUUCUAAUCAUAAAAUAUUUACUAAAACAAACGGAGCACUGACUUGGAGACAAAAAUACUCCCUCCAACAAGUCAAUGCUCGGAAUUAUCUUCGCUUUUAUUUAAUUUAUUAUCCUGGUAGACUUAUUUAACUCCACAAAAACUCCCAAUUCCUUCCUCGCUCCAAACCCUUGAGUUUCCCCCAUCGUCGCUGCUCCACUCACACGCCUCCAUAGCCCUAACCCCAAGCCAUCGGUCAUUCUCCGCGGCCCCAACCUUCUCAAGUCCUAAACGGGGUAUACUCGGGGUUUUCUAUCUAAUCGAAUUGCUACCAAUCAAUUAUAUAUAUAUAUAAACAAAGAAGGGAAAAAAAGCUAGGUUGAUUGGAAACGUAGAUGUAAGUGUUGCGAAAGUGUUGGUCAUUUGCAACUCACGGUUUGGCGUUUCGAUUACGUGUAAUAAGAAGUUAUUUUCCACAUGAUACCCUUUUGGCACCUUAACUUUCAAUUAAGUCAUUCGAAUGAAAAUAUCAUUAAUUUCCUAAAUUUAUUGAAAAGAUUUUGAUUUUUUAUCGUAGAUGUAAUAAGGGAACUUCCUUUAUUAUUUAUGCCCUAGUAUGACUUCGUAUGCCAUAUGUGUUUGCUUUAUCAAAAUAUGGAUGGAUCUUAAUCUGUAAGGUGUGUUUGCAUGUGCAAUUGGGUAAUGACGUAUAAUUAAAUGAUACAUGCUUAGUUUUGAAAUUGACGGAGAGUGUUAUUGUUUGACCUACCUUUUUUUUCUUUUUUUGAACAGAUAUUGUUUGACCUACUUGGAUUGCGGUAUAUUCGUCCUUUUGGCCUUAUAUGAUGAUGAUUCUGAAAGCUGAAAAUAUCUUUGAGAAAUUAAUUAUAGUUAUUUUCAAAGUUUUUUGGGAAAAUCAUGGAAUCCGUGGGGUCUCGAAUCAUGAUCCGAGGGAACCUUUAGCUCCAUCGCUUUUAGGGUAAGGCCACCCUAAGACUGCCACGUGGUAGUCUCAUUUGGCCGUUUCUUAAGCUGCCACUGCCCUUUUUCUUUCUAAAAAAAUAUAUUUAGUAUUAAUUAUUUUUUUCCCAUAUUUGAUAAAAUUUUGACUGGAUCUAACUUUUCUGGUGUGAUGUCGAUUGACAAAAUUUUUACUCCCACAAAAAGUUUCCUACCCCAAAUUUCUGAAAAUGUCAUUUGAUCCUUGAAAAUAUGUCAAGAUCACAAAUAUCCAUGAAUUUGACUGAACAAAGAUGGUGAUGAGAAAUUAUGAUUUUUUCUCCAUUACAAAUCUGAUCACUGUGAUUUUUGCAGCAUUGGGAAUUUUAUAACUUGGACCGUCUAGUAGAUUUAAUUGAUUGUGGCAAAUCAAAAAAAUACUUGACACUUCAAGAUAUGAUUGUAAGUAAAAGAGGUAAUAUAUUUUGCAGUGUCGCAAAGUUUUGAUUUAGAUAAAUUCGGUAUUGUUGUGGAACUAUUACCCCAUUGUUCAUUUUGGUCUUUGGUCGAACUUUUGAUGAAGUAAUAAUUUCGGUCAGUCUUGGUCAAACUUUAGGUCAAAAUUUCGGUAUUUAUGAUGAUAAUUAAUCUGAACCUGUUGAUAUUUGAUAAAGAAGGACAACAUAAACAAAGUGCAUCGCGCGGGAACUAAGGAGCCAAAAACAGGAUGGUUAUCCAUCUUUCAGUCGCUUUUGCCUCUUCAGAAAUGUGAAUGUCCCCUGGAAAUGUGCAAGAUAAUUAUUAAGAAUGAUUCCAAACAGGAAGGUCUCCUGCUUAAGUGUCACCUGGGGGUUUACAGCGCGGCUGUCGGCUGUAAACCGGUUCCUCCGGCACCAAAAAAAAAAAAAAAAAUGAUUCCAAACAGGCGGCCAGCGCAUGAUAGAACCCACCCCGGAAAAAAGUGAGCAAACGCGGACCAUCCACUUUUCACUUUGUCCCACGGAAAGUUUGACUUUUUUCGUGACCCAAAAUCGUGGAUGUUUCGGAUUCCAGAUGUGACCAUGAAAUUGCUCAUAGACCAGCAGACAUCAUGUACAUUUCAUAUGUCCAGGUGAGACGAGUGAGGGAGUGACCCAGCCAGAUGCUGCUGUCUCUAGAUCAGCCCAGAAGACGUUCAAAAAAGAGGAUCUGGAAUUCACAAUUGAUUGAUUGUAUUGGAAAAGGGGAGAAUUCACCCAAGCUCGCGAUGCUUGCGGGAUUAGCUUUCUAUUUGUUGCAGAUAUGAAAACCAUGAAGUCCAUUUAACUAUUCAUACUAGCCCCGAACAUAUCAUCUCGGCAACCUAAUACAGCACGUAAUAACACAACGACCAAUUUAUCCAUUCACCAUUUGGGACAUCCGAUCAAAAUGAAACAAGCACAUUCGAGGUCGAUUUGUGACUUUGUAGUCCAAAACAAAAGCAAAUAAAAUAAAAGAGAUGAAACUACUAAAAAGAUUACUAGUAACAAAAAAUCGAUCAUGAAUUCUGCCGAGACAAGAGUCUGUUUCAACUAUGGAAAUGUCAAGAGAAGCCCAAUUAGCACGAAUAUUCAGUCUCUUAUACAUUAUAAACCAGAUGUUUCUCAUUCUUUGCUAUAAGAAUUGGAAUUUUAAUGCGGAUGAAUAAGGGAGUUCUGCUAAUGUAGCCUCCCCCCUUACCAAAUAUGAACAAGAAAUUUUCAACUCUAAAUAAGUUCUGAGUCGUAUCAAGACUUCCCCCCGCAUCCUCUGCAUUAUCAUCUUUAACCAUCAGAGGAGGCACGAUGGUUCUCGAUUACUUAGGCGAAUUUGGAUAAUAUAUUUCGGUCUCAUGGUGCAUGCAGAACACGCAGAAUUGAUUUACUUCAAUUGGACAGAGUUAGAAAACAUUCCUUUUUUUGGUUUCNNNNNNNNNNNNNNNNNNNNNNNNNNNNNNNNNNNNNNNNNNNNNNNNNNNNNNNNNNNNNNNNNNNNNNNNNNNNNNNNNNNNNNNNNNNNNNNNNNNNCCCCCCCCCCCCCCCCCCCCCCCGGCCAAAAAAAAAAUACUAUUGUCCGAAGACAAUGCCAAGAUGAGCAUCAAAGUGACAAGAUGAGCUCUUCACAGGCAAACAUCAGCUCAUUCUCGUACCUCUUCAGCACAAACCUCUCUUCAGAUGCUAUAAUGGUGGUGACAACACAUUUCUUGUCUGAAAAUGGCUUCCUACCUGUCCUUCCAGCUCGAUGAAGGUAAUCUACGGCACUCCUCGGAAGAUCAAAGUUGUAAAUAUGAGUUGUUUCCGGCAGGUCAAUACCUCCGUCUGCAAUCAGUUGCUAGAAUAAGACAGCCCUCUUUUUGUCUCACUUCCUGUGGUCCAAAUAUGGAGGAUUAAAUAUGAAGUCGGACUAUACAUAUUUUCACCAAUGGACUGCUUAAGAUGUGCUUAGUAUACCCAUAUUUAGCAUGACGAGGAGUAUAUGCCUAUUUUAACUUGAGAAGGUCUACUUUAGGCAUUAAUAAAGGUUAUGAAGAAAGAAAGAAACGGUUUUCCUAAAGAAAACACAGUUGUAGCCAGAUAAUUUUCUUAAGUGGUAUGAUCUCUUUGAUCCUGAUUAGUGCUACCAAAUAAUAAUGGUCUGUUAAGGUUUUGCAGCAUCCUUCCUCCUAUCUAAAAAAAUCCAGCAUCUCGGAUCCACAGAGAGUAAGGGUAAAAUCCAUCUCGUUCCAAAUAUAUUAUAGGACAAACACAGUUGAAGGGCAUAUCUUUAAUAUGCCAAAUUUCUCAACCCUGAGCAUUCUCAAAGUGAGGGAAGAAACAUCAUGAUGGAAAAAGUGAAAAGCACUUACCGAGAGCGAAGCUGCUCGUGCAUUGAAAUUCAUGUCUUCUUCUAGAAGGAGAAUAUUAGAGCAGCUUCCAUAAGAAUUCUUCAAGAAUUCAAGUAGAAGAGUUGUUGGUCGUACAUUUCCAGCCUUUUUUGACUUCUCAGACUAAACGCACAAAAGAUAGAAUUGGUUAGUGGACCCGCAGACAGUUGUUUAGAAAGGUGUAUUCACGUGAUAUAUGUGUGCUCAUGAAUGCUACAAGCUUCUGUAGAAUAUAUAAAUAAAAGCUGCAUUCACUUUAAUACAUUCCAAAACCCUCUCUGUGCAGGAAAACUUUCAGGACGUUGUAAAAAAUUCUCCAUAUUUUGGAAACCAAUUUUCAUUCAGAAACAGAGAGAAAUGUCAUCAGAGCAUAAACUUCUUUCACUCGUGUAAAGAACUGCAUAUAUGUUUUAUUUGAUGCCCCUGCAUAUGGACAGAUGACCUUACUGAUAAAUGCAUGAAACUCUCUUCAGUCCAUUUAUUGUAUCAAACUGAUAGCCCAUUAGACAUUUUUAGCUAAGACCACUAAUCACUGCCACAUGAAUUGGGGACAGAGCCUCUGCCAUAUCAUACAUCAGUUGAUAUGUUUCGACAUCAUUUUUCAUUAUCCAGAUAAAAAUCUAUUUCUUCCUCUCAUUCUUAUAACAAGUACAGCACCAAAAAAUGUGAAUAAACUACGGAAAAGAGAUGCAGGAUGAGCAUCAGGCAGUAUACCUGCUCGCCAACAAAUAUAAUGCCAGAUUCGGGGUUGUCCCACUGUAAUAAAUGUAGCGAGGUCCGAUGUCUCCAACUCCUAUGACAUGUCUGAAACAGAUGGAAGCGUUAAGCAAGUCAAAAGCCAAGGAUCAUCAAUUGAGUACAUGGACUAUGAAGAUGAACAUUAAAUGAGCAUAUACAUAACUUCUACGAAAGAGUCUGUAGAUCAAAUCUCGCAUUCAAUGUCCUCACCACAAACCUAUGAUCUAGACAUGAUGGCAUAGGCUGUAUUGGAUUGACGUGAACGUGAACCACCUCACCCUGUAAUAGGCAAAGUCAUAUUAAGAUAAAAUCAGUGAGUGCAUGAGUAAACCCCAACAGAACAUUCACAAGAAUUAUAGCUUCAUGAAACCAACCUUAGUCCACUUCUGUUGUAUACAAUCAUGUAAAAAUCGCUUAUGCUGAGGUAUGGAUGCACUAGCAAAAACAGUUCGACGGUUGUUGCAUGUGAGUAUGAUGUCAACAGCUUCCGAAGAGAGUUGACUUGCUUAGAAGAGUUGAACGUGAAGUCUACCUAGGCAGCAUCAAAGUAAGAAUGUCAGUUCUUCAACCUACAAUAUCCAGGAAGAAUUCUGUCUGUAUAAAACAAGAUACCGAGGCCCCAGUGGGAUAAUUGCACAAUUUUAAUCAUACUAACAUGGUGAUUACAAAGUACCCAAUGAAAUAUACUCUCAACAAAAUAGACCAAUCGAGGCACUACAUGCUAACUGAAUAUCCUUUCUUAAAAAGGACCCUGCACCAGUCACUCUAAUCCCUAUACGCAUAUAAGAGGCAAUAAACGCCCACCUUAAAAAUACUCUUAAUUCUAAAACCAUUAAAAAAAAUUGGCCCCACUAGUGAAUGCCUGGGGAUUUUUCUGGAGGAGAAAGUGAUCUAGCAUCUUAACAAGAAUAUGGGGUUAAUGAAUCAGCUUUAAGAUGCCAAGCGGGUGUUGCUCUGAAAAGAAGAACUCAAAUUAUUCCUAAUUAUUUACCUCAUCAAUCACUAGAAUCUGCACUGUGUCGAGUUCAAAAAACUUGCUUCUCCAGCAUCUGGCACGAGCUCCUGAUGGUUGCCACUACUAUUGCUGGGGGUUCUGCCUAAAAAUGUUACAAGGAAAAGCCAAGGAGGUCAUAUUGAAGGUUGACGCAUGAAAUCCAUCAACAGGGUGCUUUAAUUUUAGAGAAGCAUCCCAAAGACAUAGCUACAUUAGGCAAUUGAUAUUUGUUGGCACUUGAAUGGACAAGUGUGGGGUUUGGGUGGGCAUAUAAUUGCCAGCUUGUGUUAUCAUGCUUCUGGUCAGACAGGUCCUCUGUUCUCAGGUUUAAAAACAUCAGCAAGAAAAUUUUAGGUUUUUCCUCUUCUUAGUACAUCCAUAUCUAAGAUUCAUGAUCUCAAAAGCAGGAAAUUCCACUAAAACUAAAAUUCUAGUUACAGGGGUACUUGUAAGAGCGUGGACAGAAUAACAACAUAGAGGAGCAAGACAACCACAAAUAUUCAGUCAAGAAAAGGUAGACAACUAAACAGACACGUAAGCAUCGACAAAGAGACAAACUUAUUUUGCCCAAAAAUGGAAGAAUUAAUAGAAGCUGUAUUUAACUGAGUAAACUAAUGCGUGGAAGAACAGUUUUGCAUGAGUUGCAGGAAAAAAAAAUUUUGCAUAAUUAAACGUACACAAGCAAAUGGAUAUCGGCAUAUGAUAUAUAGUCAAGAAAAGGAAAAAAGCACAUAAUACAAAAACCUUCUAUUUUACAGAGCGAUCACAAAAAUGUCAUUGAAGUAUAUAGGAAGAUAGCUCUGCUAAUGAUGUUUAGGUCACCCAGGAGAGGGAAGAAAAGUAGUACCAGCUAAGCAUUUCAAUAUUGAUUCUCCAUAACUUCUCCUACAUAAGGAGAAUACCAGUCAUUUCCUCAGAUCAAUAAGUAAACUAAUUAUACAAGGGGUUUUGAGAAUUAAUGUUUCUAUUUAUAAGUUGUAAUGACAGUUAUUUGUAGUUUAUAAGCGCUAGCUUAACUGUAAUUUUAUGCUCAGAAAGCACACCACACACAUGCGCACACAGAGAGAGAGAGAGAGAGAGAGAGAGAACCUUUGACCAACUCCUGUGUCUUUUCAAUGUACCUUCAUCUAGAAGAGCCAUAACAGUACAUGAUUUAUCUUGCUCCAUUUCAAGAUUCAUUGGCUUUGCAGCCAACAGCUGAGCAACUUUGGCUACCUUGUCAUAAAUGGAUAACAAUAAGAAGAAGACAUGACAUUGUGCUCUUAAUGUAGCAUGACACCAUUUUGUGCAGAUGUAACAACCACUUUCUGAGUUACAAUAGUGAAAGAGAAUCAGAAGACAAAAGGGAAAAUAUCAAAUGAAAUAUCAUAAUCAGAAAUUUACCAGAAUGCCAAGUUCUCGGGUGGGGACAACUAUUAACGCUUGUACAGAAGACCGUUGGCUGUUCAUAACUGAAAAUAUCCUCAGAAGGUACGUCGGCGUCUUCCCAGAACCUGUCUAGAGGGCCAAAAGCAUGAGUGCACCGGCCAUGUCAAUGCAGGAUCCUUUUACGUUUUCUUCCCUAGUUGAGUUUAUAUGCAGAGUCAAAAAGUAAUUCCAAUUGAGUUGGAAGUCUGAACAUUAACAGGAUAGAUCAUAUCACAUCAGACACAUAUUAGAUCACUCUUUUCGCAAACAUCUCCUCAAAACUCAAUAAACACAACUGUGAAUUGACCAAUAUAGUGGGAUACUUCAUGACUGCCUAGUACAGAGCAAUCUUUAGCCCUUUUGAAAAGUUGCAAGGUAGUUCUUCCAUUGGCGUUUUCUACCAAAUUGCCUACGUGAGAAACUUUCCAGGAAACCGGGAAACUGACGUGAUAGAUUAAUUAGAUAUCAAACCGCACAUUCAUUUAAUAGCUUUAGAAUAGUUGGCAGGGGUCCACAAAAUUUCCAUGGUAUCAGCUAGUGAUCUCACAAAAUCUCACAUGAUGAUGGUGCAAUCUUUUAAAAUUUUAAUAAAGGAUUUAAGACUGCACUAUACAAAUUAAAAGGCUCCCGCAUCAGACUUAAUUGCAUUCACUGCCACUUCCAAUGUUCUUUUCUCGUUUUGUUCUUAACAGGAAACGGAAAUCAAUGGUAAUAAGAGAUCAACCCGAGCACGAAGCACGCAAUCCCUUCCAGAGAAAAGGGCAGGCAAUGCUUCCCUCUGAACGUCAGUCGCUAAUACGUACCCAACUUCCUCCAUCCUGCAAAACCGCCCAAACAUAAAUUCUCCAUAUAGCUCCGAAAACCCAACGUCGGCAAAACAACAUCUGUCACUUCUCGCUCUAAAGUAACAAUCUUUGAACUUGGAAUUCGCACUUGCCUGCGCAGGACAUGCUCGGGCACGUGGCCGCUACAAAUUCUUCUCAGCGUGGGAGGGGCUGGCUCUGGGUCGGCUUCGUCCGCCGCGGGGAGAAGCUGACAAGGGCUCGCGGCGGCUCGUGACAGGACGUGGAGAGAGGAUAUUGAAUUGCGCGAGCGGCGACGACGGUCGAGAACUUGGGUUCGAGUUUGCGGAGAAGGAAGAGGGACGAAGGAGAGACAAGCUUUGUCGCGGAAGAAACGGCAGGACAGUGAAAGGAGACCGGAGUGGGAGGAGGAGAAGAAGAAGAAGAAGAACAAGAAGCCAUUGACGAGCAAGAAGCUCGCUCCUCGGACGAGAGCUGCGAGCUGCGACAGAGAAAGGAGACCACGUGUUGAACGAAUUAGGCUUCAAUGUUAUUUUUUGCAAAAUUGAUGGUAAUUUAUUUGAUUUAUGAAUUGAGACUUUUCACUAUUUUUUUCUUUUACUUCGGCUGGUUACAAGCUGAUUCACACGGGAAUUGGUUUGAUUCCGAGUAAAGAAUUUGAUAACCGACUUUGAUCGAUUCAGUUCUCAAUUAUUGGAAGAAUGGGUUUUGAAUUGACUUUAACAGCUGAUUCUCUAGUUAAACCGAUUCAAAUCAAAAUUCUAAAAGUUUCUUAAUUGAGAACUUUUACAUUGCCUCGAAUUAAUGACAUUAAGCAUUCUAGCACAUAGAUGUCAGCACAGUAUUUUAAAAAAUUUAAAAAAAAAAAAAAAAAAAAGGCCGAUGCCAGGAAUUCAGUUCAUUUCACAAUUCCAGUAACUAGAAACCGGUUUUAAUAAAGAUAGGUUCAAAGUUCAUGAUUUAAAACUCAACUACCCUAGGAACAAUCACCCUUUUCCACACCUGUACACAUUUUCUCCCCCAUGUAAUUCAGGAGGUCCAUGUUAGGAAUUUGAUCGGAUUAUAUUGUUCAUCUUUAGUUGAUUUCAACCUCUUAGCUAAAAAUACUCCUCACUUUUUUUUUAAUUUUUUAUUUAUUUAUCGCAAGACAGAUCUUUGAAAAUUGAAGUGGCUUUCUUGAGAACCUGCCCAAGUUUCCUGCCGUUCAUAGUAACUAAUCAGGUUGCUAAUGGGAAAAACAUUCAUAUAAUUCACCGUUCAACAGCCUACAUCGGAAUAAAGCAGCAGGAAACAGCUUCCGAUUUCUCUUGCUUGAGGUCCCAUUCCCCUAAGUGAAACUCCAAAUACGGACCAAAGAAGAAGAACCAAUGAAGUUGUUUCUCAAUGGAGUUGUACUUCCAUGAAACCGUGCUAAAGAAUGGUAGGUAGAGUUCACUCCAACAGUCCGCCUGAAAAAAUAUACAGUUCAUCAAAAGGUAAAACUGAACGGCUCUAGCUCUUUCCCGGAAUCAAGAUGUAAGAUAUACGCAAAAUCAGGCCGACCAAGCUACCUCUACCGACAUCUUCUAUUUGCACAGUCCGAUUAGGUUGUCUGCCUUCCAAGUUGAUGAUAGCACGGUGGCCCAAGGGUUUGGAUGGGGAGGGAUCAGAGCUCCGGCGUCAUAUCCCGCCACUGGGUUUCAACUAGGUCUGUUAGAAAGGUUUCAGCAUUGAGAUGGUGAAACAAGGCUCCACCGGCCAUGUCCAUGUCCACAACCCCAUCAACUCCCUUAAAUGCAACACGCAAUUUCAUCAAACUCGACACUUUCUUAUCAUCCUUGCGCGACAUGCCGGUCACAUGGAUAACAUCUCUUGGAACUUUACCCAUUAAAUCAAAUAAUGGCAGAUCUAGGUUUGACCGAGUCAUCUCUUCCAGCACCGGAGGUGCCUGCAUGUAUAGAUUCUUCCCCCUAUGCGUGACGCUUGCUCUUGAUAGAAGCAGCCUUGGGUGCUCUUCGAGCAUAUUGAUGAACUGAUGACAUACAAGAUGAAAAGAGAUGACGAGUAAUCAGAUAACUGCAAGAACUACCCAAGUGCUUAGAAACAUGUGAAGAAGGUUACAGAGAGAGCUAUACAGGAUAAAAACCUCUAGCUAGCAUUCCCAUUAAUUUGUAGCGAGUAAUAAACAGAGCUUAAGAACAAGAAAGCACCUUUUGUAGGGUCACUGAAAUGUCCAACUCAAUAAGAACACCAGGACCACAGACAAGGCAAUCCUUAUCCCUCACGAACUCAGUAACUUUAAUGUGAAGUCCUUCCACACCGUUGUAUCUGAAAUUCAAAAAUAUUAAAUAAACUCGCAGCUCAAAGUUUGCCCACUUUAAAGAACAAAAUUGGGAUUACUGGGCAUUUGCAAGCUAGCAACUAGACAAAGCGUGUAGAACUUGCAAGUUUUCGCUCAUAGAGGAUGGAUACAUACAGACAGCACAUUAGUAAAUUCAUCUACUGAAGCACUGAUCUUCAGAUGUACUGAUCAGUAACAAAAGCAGGAUAUGACACAGGCCGGGAGAGACAAAAGUAAAACUAAGAGAUCUCCAAGAAAUAAAUAAAUAAAUAAAUAAAUAAUAUAUAUAUAUAUAUAUAUAUAUAUAUUAGCAUAUUCAUACAUGUCUAAGAAAUAGCAAGUAAACAAUUCGGCAUCACAAGUUUACGACCGAGAUGCACUCCAUUUAACCUCAAGUUUAGAGACUCCAGCACUGAGAACCUUUAAUUGAGUUGCAACAUGUCACCUGAUAAUUUACGGAAAGCUUGGAACAUAAGCUAUGGAGGUCACACUAAGAGGCUUGAGAGCCAAUGAGAAAAGAAACACAAAAUAUAACAGAAUCCAAAUAUUAGCACCCAAAUGUUGCACCCACAGCCAAACGCUCUGACAGAAGGCUGUUUCUAAAAUUACUCGAAACCUACCCCCAAGCCAGCAAGUUAUUUUAAGAACCCAAGAAAGCUAGCAAGAGUACAUUUUUCUAGACAUCUGUCCAAGAAGCGACGGACACGGAUGUUAGAAAACACAAAAGAGAGAUUCAACAUAAGAUCAGGAACAGCUGACAAAAGAUAUUUAACCAAGAACACCUUAUACUCAAUCAAGAAAGCGUGACUGUAAAGAACUAGCAGAGCAAUGUAAAAUGAUUCCAGAGAGACCAUAACCAGAGGGUAUUUUGAAGAAUCAAUUGUGAUGAAGAAUAGAAAGAUUGUUAGUGCAGCAACAACAAAUAGAUUAUGCAGGCUGCCCGCUUCAACAGUCACCGUUUAGGCAUGUCAAACUAUAACAUGUGUCUCAUCUCCAUAAACUAAAAGGCCAUAUUCAAAGAUAUGCCCAAGUGUCACACUAGAUAGUAAGAGAAGAAUACAGGAAGCAAAUUGGUUAGCCCUACUUGGUAUAUUCUCGAAGAAUAAAAACACUUUCAGGAAUCUAAAACAGCCCAAGAUGAAAUACAAGAAAGCCUUUCAGUCACUUCUAGUAUAUAAUAUUAAAGGAACCCUACAAAGUUCUGCAGGAUGAAUUUUGCCUUAUACUUGAAACAAGAACAAGAUGCUAUCCACAUCCAAGAUAUACAGGAAACAAAAAAGAAUUUUACACAAUGAAGCACAUGAGAACUGUAAAAGGCAAGGUACGACGCACGUUAAGUAGUUGGAUAAAGUUUUGCUGCAUCCAGUUGCAAUCUUCAAGGUUUCCAGAGCACAAGCAACUGAUAUGAUUGCAUUAGUUGAAGCUAUAGCUUGUAUGAUAUUUUUCACAACACCCUGGAUAGAAACAAUAAAAAUGAGCUUAUCUUGAAGUACUAAUCUUAUAAUUAAUCACAUGAUAAAACGAAGCAAAAUGAGUUUACUCGUAAUUGUAAAAGUUGACAUAAAAAAUAGGACGACAAAUCAAGUAGGGUUUACAGCAUGACCUGAGGAAUUUAAUAUUCUCUACCAUUUGCCAAAUAAUCAAAGCGUAGAGAACAACUCCAGUAUUAGGAUGAAGCACAAAAUCAUGAAUCUAACUCACAAUACUUAGAAGUUUGUUGUCCCUACUUAUAAGAAAAAUGCUUCCUUAAGAUUUUUAACAUAAUGACAACAGCAAAGCAGAUUGUAAAGCUCAGUCAUAUGCAAAAAAGGAAAAUCUCUAGGCCGUUAACAACAAUAGGAGAACUAAUGCACCUGAGUGAGGGAAUAAGUCACUCCUGGAAUUCUGAAUAGCUCUGCUGUUUUGACAGCCUGCAGAUCAAGUUUUUAAAAAAUGAAUAGUCCAAAAAGAAAAUUAAUGUCUGGACAAAUCACCAAACAAUUUGAUUGCAACUGUAGUAACCUCGGAAUAAACCCACUACAUAUGUUCUGGAUCAUCAGGAUCAAAUGACUUUCCACUAUGGACCUACAGGUGAAAAUCCAACACAAUGACAAAAUAAGAUACAGUACUUAAAUAUAACAGAUCACAUGAUGAACGAAUUGGACAGCUUACAAAGUUAGCUCAUCACCUCAUCCCAUUUUAUUAGAUGUGCAUAUUCAAUACAAUGAGCAGCAGUUCUCGGGGUUUCUGCGAGAGUACAGAGAGGAAAUUUCACUUGUGGAGGGAAAAGCCAGAUGGUACACUCGAAGCAUGGGGUGACCCCUGGUUUUAUAACUCUUGCAUGCCCCUUAAAACCUUCCGUCCCACCAUCCACCAUGGGUUUCAUCGUUUCUUCCCUUGGAUUGUCAUCAGAAUCGUAUUCUGUAAUGUCAUUCGACAACAGUGAAGCUCAGUCAGAUGGUGAGCUAGGUUGGCAAAAGCUCCUACUUCCAGUACUCAUCAGAAAGCAUUAAUUGCCUAAACUAGCUAUUAGUCAGAAUGCAGCCACUAUUAGAUGUUUAAAGAUCAUUAAGGACCAUAUGCAGUAAAUUGAAAUUAAAGCUGGAAUUUUGAGCCAAAGAAGAAGCUUAAAUUGACAAGAACAACCAAUAUGAAUAUACUUACAACCAAUAUGUUUCCCUGGAUGCUUGGAAGAGCUAACAAAUAAUUGGAAGGUUGGAAUGAAUCUUUAAUUUCUAAAGCGGGGAAGGAGAUAUUACUAAAAACAGUAGUGCAGGCUCUUCCUCAAUAUGAAAUGUCAAUUUUUCAGAUUCCUGAUUCCAUAUGUAGAGCGAUUGAAGAGAGAAUGGUAGCAUUUUGGUGGAAAAGCAGAGAAUCUCACUCUGGUAUUCAUUGGAAGAGUUUUGAUUUCUUGAAGCAAAGGAAAGAUAAUGGAGGCAUGGGAUUAGAAGAUUUACUUUCUCUUAACGAGGCUUUCUUAGGUAAGCAAGGCUGGAGAUUGAUGCACCCUCUUUAUGGGGUCAAAUUUUUAAAGGGAUUUACUUCCCAAAAAGGAGCUUUUGGCAUGCAAGGGAAGGGCAUAGACCCUCUUGGGGCUGGCAAGGCUUACUAGAGGGAAGAGACUCAAUCUCAGAAUCUUCAAUGUGGAUAGUGAACAGGAGAAGCAAUCAGUAUCAAAGAGGACAGAUGGUUGAAAAGAGGAGUAAUUGGAGGGCCAGCAAAUGAAAAUGACCCACAAUAGGCAGAGGAGCUUAUAAACCACGAAGAAAGUUUCUGGAAUGAACCUCUUCUUCGAAAAGUUUUCAAAGAGGACACUGGAAAGGAAAUUCUGACUAUUCCUCUCAGAUAUCACUCUACUCAAGACAAACUGGUGUGGAAUAGCAAAUUACAUAGUAAAGAGUGGCUAUAACUACAUAAAACUUACCGAGGACAUUCGUAAAGCUUCAAUGGCCUCCUCAUCUUUCUCAGCUCCUCGACCUAUAUAGAAUAAGAUCAGGAAAAUGCAAACAACCCCUAAAAUUAAGUUCUUCCUUUGGAAUGCAUGUCAAAAUAGUCUACCCACAAUGGAGAACUUACACAAGCGAAAAAUGGUAGCAGAUCCUCUCUGCUCCCUAUGUAGAGACCAAGUGGAAUCCACAUAGCAUCUCCUUCUCCUUUGUCCCUGGACGCAAGAAAUUUGGGCCCAACCAUCCCUAAACAUUCAGAAAACCCACCUUCUCUGUCGCUUGUAGCAACCAUCUUUAAAGGCCAACGAUCCCCUUGAGUUAGAGUCGGACAAUCUGACUUUAGUUAAAGCUAUGUAGAAUCCAGACCCUAUUCCAUGGGAUGCACACGCAAUCAUCUCCCAAUGCCUUGAUCUGUCAUCCGGCUUCUCACAUCUGUGUAUCACCCAUUGCCAUCGCGAAGCCAACUCCAUUGUGGACUGGGCCGCCAAAGCUCAGCGCCAAAAAACUUUGCCAAGGGAGUGGAUUUCUUCCCCUCCCCAAAUCGUUGGAUUUACUUCGUAAGGAAGCCCAGUUUUUGGCCCCUGUGUUUUCAAUUCGAAUUAAAGUUAAUCAAUUUAUGACCAAAAAAGAAAAAAAUUGGCUUCGUCACUGAAUAAGCAUAUCACCAAGUCAAUAGGUAAUUCACCACCUCUAGUGAUUUGCUAUAUAAUCCGCAUAUUCCGUGAUAUCUGCAUGGUUUAUGAUAACGACAUGUCCUACACCCAUAAAUAUAGAAAUAAGAUACUUCCACUAAUAGGAGAGAAUGUCAUAUGUUAAUAAUAUAUAUAUAAAAUCUAUCAAUCAAAUUUAAAAGGUUAGAUCUAUUCAUCAUAUAUAACUGUGCCGGGAGAACUUGAGGCAAAGUUGGUGUAAAUUUUUUAAUGCAUUUUGCCCUAUUGAAUUGGUUAAAUGAAAAUAGAGAAAAUGAGGUGUAAUUUUUAGUAAAUUAAAUCAAAACUGGCCAGGAACAAGAUUUCGAGUGCGUAUUCGUCAUCCAUUCCAAAUCCUCCCACAUGGUUAGUAUAGCGAGUCUUUCAUCAAUCAAGCUUCAGUAACCCAAAUAGAGCGCAGUCUCAAGCGAACAAACCUAGACUCUAGCGACCUUGCUCUUCACACCAGAAACAUCAUCAAAUCUGGUUCAACAACGUCUAUCAUUCUGAUAGCAAAAUCAACCACAGUAAGAUUUCAACCUCGGGAAACUGUGACUCCGAGACAUCCGACGGCAGCGGAUACAUGAAAUCCAAACCAACUCCAACCGCAGCUUCCCAAAGUAGAAACCUCUUAACUUCUUUAUUGACCCGACAAAGUUUAGCAGGCAAAUAUCGAAUGGCUUCCAUUUAAGCACAAAGAACCAAACCGGAAAAUCACAGACAACUCACUUCAAAUAAAGAUUCCAACAAAGCUCCAUGCAGGUGCCAUUUAUGGUGGCAAAUUGAAAGACAAUUGCAAAUUAUUGGGCACUAUAUCAACCUGAUUGGCAAGACAUUCAGUAUUUCAAAAAUCUUUUAUGUUCACAAACUGUUUCAGCUCUGCAAAGCUUUCUAUAGAAGGUGAUAAGGGCAAUAUGGGAUAACAACAUGUGGACAUCCUUACCGUUCCACGGAUGUAUCAUUAGCAUUUGGAGAAGUCCAAGCAACAUCGAGCUUCCUUCUAGAAUUUCCUUUCGAAAGCUCUUUCGGACAUCUCGGCAUUUACACCACAACCAGAUGGAUGAUAAUCAAAUCCUAUCAGUGAAUCAAAUCAAAUCGAUCUAGCAAUUAACAUCAGCGAACUACUAAUAUUACACCAAAGUUCACAGAUCUUUCUUUGUAAAACUCAAUAUUAAUUUCCCUUCUUAACUAUUUCGAUCCAACUAAUAUGCAUCAUAGUGAAUUCAACUUAAGUCGCUUGAUUUUGUGGUAGAUUGUAUAAUUCUUUUCAUUUCAUCAUGUGCUAUUCAUAUAUCAGAAUGAAUGCAAGAUAGUUUUCAAACGGCAUACAAGAUAAAGGAAAGUUUCUUCAAGAAACUUUGGGCAAUGCUUCCUGUGUUUUUUCUUGUCUCCAAGUAAAUGCACAAAUAAGAGAUUAUGCAUAAUAUAAGGGAUUAUUAUACAGUGCAAUCGAUUAUUUCAAAAGACAUUCUCGUUCAUGUCUGCUAUAUUGAUUAUUUGCUUGACUCAAAAGUUCCGGUAAUGGACAGAUGACUUUGCUAACUAUCCAAAUAUUAAGAAGUAUUCUUCGUACUAAUCUAUUGAUUAUCUUGGACUUUUAGUUAUACCACGGAUUGAAAACAGACGAACAUGGAUUUUAUAAUUAGCAAAAUAUAAGUUGUAAUUUUCUCGAUUGCUCCCAACAUUUCACAAUAGUUUUGCUUCUGGCCUGUUUGCUAGUUUAUUCACAACCAACCCGCUAGGAGAAGAGUCAAUUCUAGCAUUUAAUGUUUCGUCACCGAUACGAUUAUGUUAAUAAGCUAAUGUGGACAUUCUGCCAGAUAAAAUGUGGGAAACACAAUGGCUUGACAAAUUUAUCCCAAGUUAUACCUUAGAAUCCUAAAUUCACGCUUAACCGUACUUUAGAAAUAUGCAGUCAUAAACUGUAUGAAGAACGCAGAGCAAACUAAGACCUCACAUCAGAUGAUUGAAAACAAUGAUGCACGUAGAAGGCCUUUCGACCAUUUCCAUGAACCUCGCCCCUGGAUUGCUUGAAUCAAAACAAGAAAACAAUAACACUGUCAACGAGGAAAUACUAAUGAAAAGUUGAUAAAAGUCAAAAGAAGUUGCAAUCAGGAAAUUCAAAUGAAAAUUGGAUGACAGAUCUCCAAAGGAAAAAGGUAGCUUAACUGCUUCAUGUACCCUCUUUAGGAAAUGCAGAUCGUCCCAACUGUCUCCACACCUAUUAUCGACUUCCUAGCUUCUCCGACUAGCAUCGCUCCUAGCUUUAGCUCGUAAUUUUGAUAAAGCCGCCCUCUAGAUAAUUCUGGUAUUGUCUUGAGAGACUUGCAUCCAGAAAUGUCCAAUUCCACAAGUUGCUGCAAUUUCUCGAGCCCUUGAAGCUCAGUCAGUUUCACACAAUCUUGCACAAUCAGACUGACCAAGUUGGUACAUGAUGAAAAAUCAGGUAAGAUUUCAAUCGACCAACAUUUCAAGAUAACAAUAAAUCGUAGGGAUGUCAACUUCUCAAGUCCUGGGAUCUCCCGAAGUUCAUCACAAUAUAACAGUGACAAACACUGUAAAUUAUGAAAAUUUGACAAGUUUGGUAAUUUUGCUAAGAACUUGCAAUUGCAUAUAGAUAAAGUCUUGCAGGAUGUGAGUCUCUCUAGGUUCUGAAUAUCAUGAAGCUUGUCACAAUUCCUAAUUUCCAAACUUUGUAAGGUGUCAAAGCAACAUAAAUUCGGUAACCUUACAAGGGAAGUGCACACAUAGAUUCGCAGGUCUUCCAAGAACUCCAAUUUAUCGAGGCCUUGAACUUCGACUAAGUUUUUGCACUCGUGAACAUAUAAUAUCUUCAAACCCUCAGAUUUUGAAAGGUCCAGCUGUUCAAUUGCAUUGCAAAAACGGAUAUCUAUCUCUCUCAAGAACUUCAAACCCUUAGAUUUUGAAAGGUCCAGCCGUUUAAUUGCAUUGCAUGAAAAGAUUUUUAUCUCUUCCAAACCCUUAGAGUUUGAAAGGUCCAGCUGUUCAAUUGCAUUGCACUCAACGAUUAUUAUCUCUCUCAAGAACUUCAACUUAUUGAGGCCUUGAAUUUCAACUAAGUUUUCACAAUAUUCAAGAUGUAAAGUCCUCAGACCAUUGGAUUUUGAAAGGUCCAACCUUUCAAUCGAAACCAACGAGAUAUGAAGGGAAUCCAAGAGCAUCAUCCUAUCGAGGCCUUGAAUUCUGCAACCAUCAUGACUUCGCUUUUCACUUGAAUGUGCGCUACAAAAUUUCACGUUUUUCAACAUCGUUAACCUAUCAAGUCUUUCACUUUUACGUAACGGAUCUUCAGUUCUAUAACAUAUUAUCUUCAAACCCUUUGGAAGGUCCAGCUUUUCAAUUUUGCUCUCAUCAAUACGUAGAUUUUCCAAGAACUUCAGCCUAUUGAGACCUUGAAUUUCGACUAAGUGUUUGCAAGAAAUAUCUAAGUUCUUUAGACCCUCAAACUUUGCAAGGUCUAGCCUUUUGAUUGAAGAGCAAAGAUUGAUCUUUAAUUCUUCCAAGAACUCCAACCGAUUGAGGCUUUGAAUCUCGACUAUGUUUUCGCAAUUCUCAACACAUACUGUCUUCAAAUACUUAGAUUUUGGAAGAUCCAGCCUUUCAAUUAAUUCGCACGCUGUGAUGAUCAAGCUUUCCAAAUAUAUCAAUUUGUCAAGACCUCGAACUUCAUGCAUGUUACAGCAAUGCUCCAUAUAUAAUGUCCUCAACCAGUUCAAUUGUGAAAUGUCCAUUAUUUCCCUAAAGCUGACGUUUGAAGCUUUUAAAUCUUGGAGCUUUCUCAUCCUAAAAAUACCAUCGGUUAAUUGUAACUCGCCAAGGGUGCCGAUAUGCAGAAUUUCUAGAUUUUGUAAAGCUCCUAUGCUAUCCGGGAGCACCUUGAGUCUACGACACGCCUCCAACUUCAAGUGUACCAGGUUCUUCAAGUCUCCGAUAGAAGAGUUAAUUUGCUUUAAUUUCCCACAAUCAGAGAGUAUCAGAACCUCUAAAUUCUUAAAAGCUGAGAGGAAGACUGUGCUUCUUAAGGAUUGACAACCUGUAAGGUCAAGAAAUUUUAACUUCUCUGCCAUCUGGAAAAAACAUAACAAUAAAAAUCGAGGGUUAGCCUACAGCAAUUAUGAUUCCAAAGAAUGCAGAAAAAGAAAACUUGUUCUUCAAUCUUACCAUGGAUUUCCAUCCUUGCCAUUCAUCUGAGAUCGUGCUCCAAGACAAAUCGAGUACGACUAAUUCUGUUAGGCGAAAUCUCCAAACGGAAUUUUUCGAGGGACAAUGCUGCCAUCGAAGGCAUUUUAACUCCCCCAUUGAAUUCCUAAAAUCUCCUCUAAGACAUGCCCCACUCACAUGAAGGAACCUUAGACCUGUUAACUUCUUGAAUUGCUCAGCCUUAAAAUUCUCGAAUGGCUGGGAAUGGUGAAAAUUGUCAAAAUAAAUGGCCUUAAUCUUUUCUGUUCCCUGUAAGUAAUCAUCAAUGUUCGUUAAUCCUAUUUAUAUCCAACAAAACUAAUCUAAUAUUAUUUGUUCAUAUUGCUAUAACAUGCAUAGACGUUCUUAAGAGACUAGCAAAGUAUCAACAUAUUUGAAUGGCCAUACGUACUUGGAUCUUAAAAAGAAUUUUGAUGUUCUCUUUUUAUGGUUUUGUUUUAUUUUGUAUAAUAGUUUGUAUAGUAUUACUCUUUAGUAUAAUGGAAAGGGCAAAACUUUACAACUUGCAAAUCCUCUUCUUUCCGCUAAUGUCCCUGCAUUACUAUAUUAGUUAGGAGUUAGGACGUACAUUCAGUGCACAGGAUUUCACAUUAUGAAGUCCUUUUCUUUUCCGCUUUUUCUUAUGUAUAAAUUUCAUAUAUGUUACUUGAGUGUGCUACUUACCCCAUUAAUAAAAACUAACAUAUACUCACUGUUGUUUUUCCCAUUGGAGUAAUGUAUAAUUAUAAGUAACUGAACUUGUGAUGGUAGUUAUACUAAUAUCCUCUGUAAUUUAUUUUAUUAUUACUAAUAACUAAAAUAUCAUCAAUCAAUUAAUUUCUAAUUAUAAGUAUUAUAUCCUCUAUAACAUUGUUUUAGCAUAAAUUAUGACUUAAUUAUAGAUUACAAUAUGAUUUAUUCUAAAAAAAAUCAUAACUAUAGAUGAUUGAAAUAUUUAAAUAUAAUAAUCAUAGAUCUAAUAACGUUGGUCUAUUCCAACAUAAUUAGUUAUUAAAUAUGCUAAGUCAUCGCUGAAAUAUGAAAAUCGAAGCUAUUCUUAGCUACAUGGAAUAGCUUUUCCUUGGCCCCCUAGAAAAAAUAGUCCUGAUUUUGAGAGAAUAAAAAUACCUAAUCUAUUUUUGAAUCAAACGAAAGAAUAACCGCUUCAUCAGAACAAACUAUAAACAGAAUAGCUAUUCUUGCGAACCAUUGUAGCAAGCUUUCAUCAAGAAAAAUCACUAAAGCAUACGAAGUGGAGAAGUAAUUUAGAAAAUUCAGGGAUUUCCACAAGUCAAUUUAUCCGAACAAGAAAAUUUCCUAUUGUACUUCACAUUGUUGUACAAGAUUUCAUGGAUACUUAAAGGAGAAUGACGUAACUAGUGGAGAAGGAAAUAGAUUUCAACACCUUAAAGGAAUCCAAGUUGAGAAUAAUUAUAAAAAAAAAAAUGAAGCAACCUCCAAAAGAAGUAAUCAUACUCAGAUUAGUCAUUUCCCUCGUAAACUUCCCUUAAAAUAUCAAGAAAUCCUAUCUGUCACCAAGAAUUCUUUGUUUUCAAGUGUGUAACUUUUUCACUUUCAAGAAUCGGUCCAUAGAUUUGGAGUGUACUUACAGCCAAAUCCCAAAAAUAAGCCUAACUUUUUGUACUUGGGACAAAUGCAGCACAAUCUUUGAAUCGUACCAGAAAAAUGCCUAACCUUUUACAUCUAGAGCAAACAUUACAUAGCCUUUCAAACUUAUUAAUAAUUAAAAAAAAAAAAAAAACCAAUCAUCUAUCCGUGGAACAAAGCUAACACCCCUUACAAUUGUCGUCCAUUGUCAUCGUUAAAUCACCACAAAUACGCUACAUGGUUCACUGUGCCGAUAUACACGGCGAACCAUAUCAACAAACACAAAAAACUAGGUUGUUUUCCUAUUUUUAAUAACCUUUGUACCAAAUUUUUAGCAUUUUGAAAUAUAAAAAUCUAUUUAUGAUCAUAAUUAUUGCAGUUUACUGUGUAUGUUCGCACAUUGAGUUGUGUAGAAUAAUGCGUGGCGAUUUAAAGUGAGAAUAAGCAGAAUUUGUAAAGGGUGUUAAUUUUGUCCACUGAAUGAAAAGUUGUAAUAUUUUCCGCCCAUAUGCAAAAGGCUAGGCUUCUUUUUACGCUCUUUUAAACUUUGUUUUAUUUUUCUCUACAGUGCAACACUUUGAAUUUUUAUUUAUUUGGUCGUAUACUCAAUAAUACCCAUGGAGUGAGUUAAAAAUGUGUUUCAAUUAUGCUUUAUAUGUCAUUUGUUUCUUGUUUAUGUAAGUUGUAUUGUCUAUGCUUCUCACUUCGCAUGGGUUUUAUCAAAGUCGAUCGUAUUUUUAGAUAAUAUAAAUGAAAGUAACUUUAGGUAUUUUGAUUAAUUGUAGGAAUAAACUUAAAAGAUCUUAUAUCAGUUUUACCAAAGGCACUUUGAUUUCGACUUAUGAUGGUAACUUGAAUUGAACGGAGUGGAAGUAUAUCCUGCAAACAUAUUGAAAUAAUGCCGUAAAAGAUGCACCUUUUUAGUUUUGAAAUUUAAUUUUACUAGUUUAUUUAGAUAUAAAGUAUACAAGAUCUUCAUUUUUCUUUUGGUUAGUUUAGCUUAUUUGUGAUAUAAUUUGAAAAAUAAAAAUAAAUAAAGGCUUUGAAUUUGUUAAUAGAUGAAUUGGCUAUUGAUAUUAUACAAGUUUGCACAUUGAGAAUGCAAAUGGGAGCUAGUAUUUUGAGCAACAACUUGAGUCAAACCAUACAAUGGAUUAUAAGUAGUAGAGUCAAAAUCACAUCAGUUACACAAAUCCCGCCAUGUUCACUCCUAUUAUACUAAUUUGACAAAAUUUUAAAUAAGGACUUGAAGUGGAGUGUUUCUGCAAAAGAGGACCUAAAAUGGACGUUGUCUCAAACAAGGGUGUCAAGUGAUGAAUUUAGUGUCAAAUAAGGGCCUCGGCAUGGAUUUUACUUUGUGUUACAAAACGCCCAACGUGGUUGUGAUUAUGCUUUAUGGUGGCAGACAGGUUGUCCAAGAUGACAGGUUUCAUCCUUACGAGGAUACAUCAUCUGCGUCAUAUUGGCUUAGAUUUUUCUGGCUUGAACAAGAGAUAUUUAUAUGACUCUAGGAAAUCUAAUUCAGAGCAUUUGUGGAGACAAGUUGAAACAACGGAAAUUUUGCAUUGCCUCAUAUCAGGAUUUUGCAUCCCAUAAUGCGGUUCACUCAGCUAUAAAGAAGUCACAAUUCUAUGCCGUUUACAGGAAGCUCCCAGGCGCACAGUGACUUUGCGAUAUAUGCUUCCACCCUUUCCCUCUAGAAGCUCCCAAAACAAGCCCUUAUCAACAUCACCAUAGCCAUAGUCAAACACCCACAUCCACCCAUUCCCUCUAAGCCCUUUGACAUGCACAAAUUUAAGCUCUACACCUACUAAAGACUCCCUCUUGCAAUUUAAGGCCUCGAAAAAGAUCUGCAGACGUUGAGUCUUCCAAGUUCUCUUCUUCCUCAGUCACGACCAAGCAAGGUGAGGGAAAUCAAGAAAAGGCGAAGCGAAGCAAGAAGACAAAGGGCGAUUGUGGAGUGAAGGUGAAGAAAUUGGCCAGAGAAUGGGAGGAUGGUGGUGGGUAAGCUAGGGCAGUGGAGAAGGAGAGGAGUUAGGUUAAGGUGCCACGAGAUAGAAUUGACAUUGUCAAGAUCUCGUCUCUAUUGGUGGAGGAGGAGUUGACGAAGUGCCAUGAAGAGGCUGUUGAUUGUGACAGAAGGAAUUCAACGUCUUAAGUGGUGGAGAGCGGUAUGAUUUUCACAGCCAGAGCGAAGGAGGCUCGAGAAAGAUGAAGUACAAAAAAGAAAGAUAAGAAAACAAGAGAAAGAAGAAAGAAAAAGAAAAAUAAUGAAAAAUGUUUUUUGGAUGAGAAUGCCUCAAAACGUGGAUAAGAUUUGGCUAGUUGGUGAGAUUAGGCCCUUAUUCGAAACUAAAUUGACCACUUGAGACCUUUCUUUGAGAUGACGUCCACUUCAUACGAUCUUGUAAGAAAACAACUCCACUUCAAAACCUUAUAUAAAAUUUUUCCUACUAAUUUGAAUUCUAUGAUUUAUAUAUCCUAGUUACUAAUUAGUUAAGGUUUACGGUGACAUAAUCAAGUUAUUUAUUACAUGUGUGAAGGACAAAACUGAAUUAGGAUGCGUUUGUUCCACGAAACUCAAAAUUUGAAAAAUAUUUUCCAAAAAACGACUGCCUAUGCAGUUUUCAAAAAUAAACUAGUGAAAAAUAUCUUCAUUAUUCACAAAAAUAAUCGGCAUUAAUUGUUGUUGAUAAUGAAAUAAUUUCCGUAACUAAUUUUCUAAGCAAUCUACUCAAUCAUUUGUCAAAAGAUAUUUUCCAAAUCUUUCAAUAUGGAGCACCUUUAUUGGUUAUCUAAUAAAUUGUUAAGUACCUCAUUCUAGGAGAUAUAUUCGUAAUGUACACUUAUUUAACAAAAAUCUAAGGUAAGUUGCACUACUUUUCAAGAGCGAGAAAUCUCCUAGUUUCUAAUCACUAAUCACGUUAAUAAAAGGACAUGAGGGUAAUAAUAUUAGAACGCUCUCUACUCACUAGAGCAAAGCAUUAAAGUAAAGGACCAGCAUCACUUAGACAAGAGAACAUGAAUUAAGGGAGCAAAAAAAGAGAAACCAUUACCUUAUUUUCCUUUAGCACUUUCAGGAUUUCCUCGGAGUCCCACAACCUGCUACGGUACUCAGGCUUUUCUAGAUUCUCCUCGCGAACGAUUUCCCUACCAAGAUCUCUCAACUGGUCAUGCAUUCUGAGCUUAUGAUCAUCUCCAAUUUUUAUUAAUGACAUAGACCUCAACAUUUCAAUUCCCUCCUCUGGGAAAAACCCGCAUGCAUCCCACAUGUAGGAUGCAGUUCUUCCAUCGGACCCAAUUAAAAAACAGGCGAUAUCCAAAAAUAUUUCUUUUUGUCUGAGUUCUAACGCAUCAUAACUUAUCUUUAACUUUUCUUGCACAUCCUCAUGAGGGACUUCUCUUAACCUUUCUAUCGUAGCUCUCCAUAGUGUUGGCUCUCUUCCGCACAAAAAUGAGCCUAAAACCUCAAGAGACAAGGGUAGGCCCCCGGUCGUUGAUACAACAUCAUGAGCAAGGUCCAUGAAUUCACUUGGAGGAGAGUCUUUUCGAAACGCAUGUCUACUGAACAGGAUCAAAGAUUGCUUCUCAUCCAAUUCCUCAAGUUUAUGGUAGCAGUCCACCCUUGCACUUUCAAGAAUACUCCUGUCUCUUGAGGUAAUAAGGAUCCUACUUCCUGAAUAAAACCAAUUAUGAUUUCCAGCCAAAGCCUUCAACUGAUCAUCAUCAUCUACAUCAUCAAGAAGAAUGAGUACUUUCUUUGUUUUGCACUUGGAUGAGAGGAUCCUAGUCCCUUUAUGCUUAUUAUGAACUUGUUUUUCUUUUCCCAAUAUAUCAAAGAUUAGCUUCUCUUGCAAGGACUCAAGGCCCUUAUAGUUACAUGAUUCCCUAAUAUCAGGAAUGAAGCUACGGUAGUAAAAUUGAUCAGAGAGCUUGUUGAAGAUAAUGUUAGCAAGAGUCGUCUUACCAAUGCCUCCCAUUCCAUAGAUGCCAAUAAAUAGGGUGACAUUAGAAUUAUCAGCUACUUCUUUCAUAACCUUCUCCACAUGAUUAUCAGUUCCCACCAAAUUCUUAGGAAUAAGCAAAUCAAAAUCUUUCUUCAGCUCCCUCAAUACUUUUUUGACAAUCGUAUUCACUAAUUCUGCUUCAUUCCUGUCAAAGGCGACAAGAGUUCAAGUACGUGGCGACAACAAUUUUAUAUUGUUUAUAUAUUGAGAACAUAAUAACAAAAAUAUCCAAGAAUUGUUUUUGCCACCUCCAUAUAUUGUCUUAAUGCUAAGAUUAAAGUGGGAGAGCUUGUAGUUGCUUCACAUGGCUAUUCCAUUAUCAUUCUAAGACAAUUUAUUUAGCAGGAAGAAACUUGAGGUACCGCUAAUGAAUCUUAAAUUAUUAUAUAGUAUCAAUUUGAAUAAAAUUUUAAAAUUUUUGUUUAUUUAAAAUCUUAAAGAUGACGUGGAUGUGACUUUGAAAACUUUCUGGAGCAUUUGAAAUAAGCAAAAAUACAAUAAGCUAACUUGUAUGAGACUACAGCCAUCAAUCAAUAAAUAGGUAAUAACUUUUGAUGCAAUAGGAAGUUAAUUCCUAUAAUACCGAGCCGGAAAGUCAUUCAGAGUGCAAUAUUGUGAACUACCUAAAUACAAUUGAGGAGAUUUCUCCUUAUAUGCGGAAUGCUAGCAAGUUUCUACUCAUGCUGUGAAUUUGAAAUCUUUCAAAAUUCAUGUUCUUAUCGAUCUUUUUUGUGUCAAGGGAUAACAGAAGGUUGUACUUUACUUUCCUUUUUGAGUAUCUUUCUUCUAUGAUCUUAAUUAAUCCGAUGUUGAUUUUAGUGGAAGUAGAAGAAUGAUUUUUCAAGAAUAAUUUUUCCUUAAAAUAAGAAGAAUGCUUCGAUUUAUGCAGGUGUAUGAGAUAAUAAUGUGUUGAAGAUAAGAAAAUGCAUUGGAAAGACAUGUAAACAAACAAAUAAUAAAGAUAAUAUAUUUUUCUUUUUUAUAUUUACCAUCAUAUGAAAUAUUUCUUUUGGUAAAAAUGAUUAUAAAAGCAACUCAUUACCGACGUUAUAAUUUAAUAAAUGUACCUUGGGAAGAUGAUGAAUAAUGGCUUUGGCCAUCAACAUGCACGGUAUAUGUUGUAUUAGCUUUAAAUGGGAACCACAUAUAAGUCGAAAUAUUAGUCUCAAAUAAAUAUGCAACUGGAAAAGUAUGUAAUCAAGGCUAAUUUUACUUAUAAUUUAAACAUGAAAAAGGAAAUGGUACAGUGUUACAAGGCAUCUGGAUAUGGGUGAAAAUUCACCUAAAAAAGCUUAUAUAUAAUUCAAGCGAAUGAGAUCAUUAAUUAGAAUUUAUAAUUAGGUGGGUCAUUAUCGUUAAAGUAAUUCCUAAAAAUGAUAACUUAUAAAACUCAUGCAUUGCAGGAUCUCAACCCUUUUAUUAAAAAACAAUAAAAAGGAAAAGGAAGAAAAGAAAGCAGGUAGGAAUCAGAACAACAGUAAACCCCCCACACAAAUUAAAAGAAAGUAAAGAAAGUGUUUGGUGAAAAAUGAAGUACCCAUCGGCUUCCCAUCCUUUCAAUUUACCGACUGCAGUGAGUGCUUGCUCAUAUUUCUCCAAAGUCGUUGGGUUGAAAGGCUUCUCCCGCUUAAGAAAUGCACCUCCGAAACUUCCGCUCUGAUGCCGCACGUCCCUUGGAUUCACUUUGUAGAAUAUAGGCAACACUAUAUGCCCCAUCUCAUUAUUCUUGCACUCCAUUAUUUGAACCAGUUCAUCGAGACACCAUUUGCUCUCACAAUAAUUCACGGAGAGAAUGGGGAUCAAGAUCUUACUGUUCUUGAUGGCUUCCAAGAGAUCUGGGCCGAUCUCCUUGCCUUGGCGGAGCUUGUUAUCGUCCAAGAAAACAUCAAUUCCGGCAGCGACCAGCCUGUCGUAAAGGUGACUGGUGAAACCAUUUCGAGUAUCUUCACCUCUAAAGUUCAAGAACACCUCGUAAUGGUCUCCAGUCGGCGCGGUCGACGAACUAGAUGCGCCGGCAUCAGCAUCUUCUGCAUUUCUUCGUGCAUUGGCUCUUUUCCUGUUGAGCAAAUUGAAAGCGAGCACGGAAAGGAGGAUCGGUGCCACGAGCACGGCGAAAGAGUGCCCAAAAAUGGGAGGAUGCAUUUCUUCGUUGCUCUGACUCUGCCCUUUGUUUUUCCUUGUCCAAGGCCGACGGAGAUGAAAACCAGAAUGCUUCUCGAGGAAAUACAGAAGAAGGGUUUACGGUUCAGACACGCUCUUCCAUAAUGUCCUUUUUAUCAGCCCUUCGCCCUUGCCAUCGUAGCCACAGUAAGGAGAGUUAGACGUGGGGCCCCUUUGGUGUCCGUCUAAUUUUGUUUGUUUUUCGCUUUCUCCUUCAAUUUCCCACGCGCCCUUUCACGGUGCUCUGAAAUGGGGGGACCAUUUUUUUUAUUUUUUUUUCUGGUUGUUUGCCCCUUCUCCUCUUUCACUUUUCCGACCCGCCCCUCCCUCUUAAUAUAUUUAUGAUCAAUUUUUAUCUAAUUUUAUCAUUAAAUUACUAAAUUUAAUAACACACGAUAAUUAAUAGCUAUAUCAUUUGAGAUUUAGCCAUCCAUUUAUUACAUGUAUAUUAAUUUGUAAUUUUUUAUAAUAUUAAUCUAAUUUAAUCAAAAUUAACGCAAGAUAAAUUUAUUAUAAAUAUAUUAAUUUAAAGUUUUUAACGGUUAAAAAAUUAAUUUAAAUUAAAUUUAUCAUAAAUAUAUUAAUUUUAAAUUUUUUAUUAUCAAAAAAUUGUUGGAAAUAAAUUUGUCCAAUCUAUGAUUUCUCAUGGCGUUAACUGGUACCAUUUUAUUUUAUCCCUUGGGCAUUUCUUCUUCUUCCUCUUCGUCUCCGUCUCUGUUCUUCUCCCUGUGCUCUCUCUCUCUCUCUCUCUCUCUCUCUCUGCCGUUCCUGUGCUGUGGUUAAAGCCCUCGUUGAAUUCGCUAUUUUUUCGACCAAAGAAAAAUUCAUUCUUGUCAGAACCGUACUCUUCUUCCCGACCGCCAAGAGCAGGACUUUGGAUUUUACCGAACUGCCCUUCACUUGUCUUGAUUAAGUUGGGAAGUAGAAAUGGUUAAUGACUUCGUACAUAUUAGCUUGCCUGAUUUCUCCGGUCUGCACGCGUCUCGUCUGGUCAAAUCAGAAGCGCUGGAAAAGUGGUUUAAGGGUGCGCUUGAUUCAACGACUUUCGAUUUCCAAAAUCUCUUAAAAGAAUAUUAAACCGUUUAGCAAUUAUUUUAAAGUAGUUUUAAGCUAAUAGUAAGAAAAUUAAAACUUCAAUAUUAAUAGGGAUUAAUAUUGAGUUUUCAGUAUUUGAAAAAAUAUUGAAACUCAUUUUUUCUUCCAAAACUAUUUUCGCCCAUUCUUCAAAUUUCCGAUUUUACCCUUUUCUAAAUUCUAAAAAAAUCAUAUACAUAUAUAUAAAUGCUAAAAAAAUCAACGUAUAAUUUUUUUUUUGAAAAAAACACCCUUUCCUUCCAUGGGCUGAGCUUGCUGGAUUUCUCCGCUCCGCGUGGGUCUCCUCUGGUCAAAUCAGAAGCGCUGGGAAAAUAGUUUUUUUUUUUUUGUUCGAUCGCUGGGAAAAUAGUUUAAAUGGUGCUCGGGAGCAGGUCCUAUGGAAAUUAUGUUUAUCAAGAGAUCACGUCGGAUCGUGGCAAGCAUCCGAAGGAUGAAUACCAUUCGUGCAUCAUUCAUAUACCAAAUGCCGUUGCGCUGCGCGUGUGCGAUCAUUACUUAAAUGUCUUUCAACAUCGGUAGACCCAUUCAACUAUUCAUAAGAUUGGAGUACUUGGUCGAUCGCGUGGCUGCCCCUGUAGUGAUGUGAGUCGUAACAUGAAGGAAGAGAUGCAGCCUUUCCAAUUUAUUUUUCAGGAUGAAGAAUCCACUAAAGCAAAGGGGGAAAUUUCUCUGAUCAAUCCAUCCCACCUUUGGACAGCUAAUAGCUCCAACAAUGACGAGACAGAACCGCGUCAUGUAAGGUCAUGUCGGAAAGCGAAAGUAAGAAAGAAGACACAAACGAGAAAAGAGGGACACCGAAAGGUAAGUGAUUUGUCUUUUAGGAUGAAGAAUCCUCCAAAGCGAGGGGAAAAAUUCCACACUGAUCAAUCCAUCCUAUCUCCGGACAGCUAAUAGCUCCAAUCGAUGAUGAGACAGAGUAGCGUCGUGGAAGGUCAUGUCGGAAAGCGAAAGGAAAAACGGAGAAACAAACAAGAAAAGAGGGACACCAAAAGGGUAAAGUGUUGAACCAAAAAAAAAAAAAAAAAAAGGGUAAAGUGACCUUAGCGUGUGGAGGUUGCCAACUAGCGUUAGGGAAGAUAUUUCUAAAGCCCUCGCAACACGUCUACUAGGGUCCGUGAACUGAAAAUUGUUAGGGGAAAAAUUAUUUUUCGAUUUUUUAAAAUUUUGAUGAUGAAAAACUAAUUAAUUUAUGAAAAAUAUUUUUUAUGAAUUAAAAACAAAGACAUUAAAUUGAUGGAAAAUGACUUUCUCUUUUGCCAAGAUGAAAAUCCUUUUUUUCUAGAUAACCAAAAAAACUUAAUUUUUCUUGAAUAAUUGUUUUCAUAAAGAAUAUUUUUAAUCAUAAAAUAUUUACUAAAACAAACGGAGCACCGACGUGGAGAAAAAAAUACUCCGUCCAACAAGUCAAUGCUCGGGAUUAUCUUCGCUUUUAUUUAAUUUAUUUUCCUCGUAGACUUAUUUAACUCCACAGAAACUCCCAAUUCCUUCCUGGCUCCAAAACCUUGAAUUUCCCUCAUUGUCACUGCUUCGCUCACACGCCUCCAUAGCCCUAACCCCAAGCCAUCGGUCAUUCUCCGCGGCCCCAACCUUCUCAAAUCCUAAACGGGGUGUACUUGGGGUUUUCUAUCUAAUCGAAUUGCCACCAAUCAACAUUAUAAAAAAAAAGAAAAGAAAAGAAAAAGCAUAAACUAGGCUGAAUGGAAGCGUAGAUGUAAGUGUGAAAGCAUUGGUCAUUUGCAACUCACAGUCUGCAUGUCGAUUACGUGUAGUAAAAAGUUAUUUUCCACGUGAUACCCUUUUGGCACCUUAACUUUCAAUUAAGUCCUUCGAAUGAAUAUAUCAUUAAUUUCCUGAAUUUAUUGAAGCAAUUUUGCUUUUUUAUCAUAGAUGUAAUCGGGGAACUUCCUUUAUUAUUUAUGCCCUAGUAUGACUUCAUAUGUCAUAUGUGUUUGCUUUAUCAAAAUAUGGAUGAACCUUAAUCUGUAAGGUGUAUAUGCGUGUGCAAUUGGGCAAUGACGUGUAAUUAGAUGAUACAUGCUUAGUUUUGAAAUUGACGGAGAUUGUUAUUGCUUGACCGACUUGGAUUGGGGUGUAUUUGUCCUUUUGGCCAUAUAUGGUAAUGAUUCUGAAAGCUGAAAAUAUCUUAGAGAAAUUAAUUAUAGUUAUUUUCAAAGUUUUUUUGGAAAAUCAUGGAAUGCGCGGGGUCUCGAAUCACAUGAUCCGAGGGACCUUUAGCUCCAUAGCUUUUAGGGUAGGGCCACCCCUAAGAUAUUUAGUAUUAAUUAUUUUUUUCCCAUAUUUGAUAACAUUUUGACUGGAUGUAACUUUUCUGGUCUGAUAUCGAUUGACAAAAUUUGUACUCCCACAAAAAGUUCUCUGCCCCAUAUUUCUGAAAAUGUCUUCUUUUCUUUUUUUGGGACCGGAGGAACCGCCUCACAACGAGCACUUGGUGUAAACCCCACAGGAGCACUGGCAUGAGGGACUGACCUCCCGCGGUGCUCCGCUUAAGUCACGCUAAUGCGCAUGCGGUGACUCGAACCUCCCCCCUUCCACAAUUAGAGGGGGAAAGACCUAAACCAACACGCCCAUAAUGGAGUGGGUCUGAAAAAUGUCAUUUGAUCCUUCAAAAUAUGUCAAGAUCACAAGUAUCCAUUAAUUUGGCUAAACAAAGAUGGUGAUGAGAAAUUAUGAUAUUUUCUCCAUUAGAAAUCUUGAUCACUGUGAUUUUUGCAGCAUUGGGAAUUUUAUAACUUGGACCGUCUAUAGUUUUAAUUGAUUGCACCAAAAAAAAAAAAAAAUACUUGGCACUUCAAGAUAUGAUUGUGAUUAAAAGAGGCAAUAUAUUUUGUAGUGUCGCAAAGUUUUGAUUUAGAUAAAUUGGGUAUUGUCGUAGAACUAUUACCCCAUUUUUCAUUUUGGUCGAACUUUCGACGAAGUAAUAAUUUCGGUCGGUCUUGGUCAAACUUUAGGUCAAAAUUUAGGUAAUAAAUCUGAACCUGUUGAUAUUUGAUAAAGAAGGACAACAUAAAGGAAGUGCAUGGCGCAGGAACUAAGGAGCCAAAAACAAGAUGGUUAUCCAUUUUCCAGUCGCUUUUGCCUCUUCAGAAAUGUGAAUGUCCAUUGGACUUGAGCAUGUCGUUAAAAGGAUUUGACCAUCAGGAAAGUCUAGGUAGAGGCCUGGGUCCAGGGUCUCGAUAAAAAUAUACCGGCCCCAUUGGUUCUCCUGUCCACACCCCCCUUACGGGGGUAGGGGAACUAGCCUAGAUCCCCGUGAAACCUUCCCAGCUGAAACACGCCGGCGUGGUUCAGGGAAAUGAAAGGUCCAUUUUGCCUCUUCAGAAAUGUGAAUAUCCAUUGGAAAUGUGCAAGAUAAUUGUUAAGAAUGACUCCAAAUAGGCGGCCAACGUACGAAAGAACCCACCCCGGAAAAAGUGAGCAAACAUGGACCAUCCACUUUUCACUUUGUCCCACGGAAGGUUCGACCUUUUUCGUGACCCAAAAUCGUGGAUGUUUCGGAUUCCAGACGUGACCAUGAAAUUGCUCAUAGACCAGCAGACAUCACGUAAAUUUCAUAUGUCCAGGUGAGAUGAGUGAGGAAGUGACCCAGCCAAAUACUGCUGUCUCUAGAUCAGCCCAAAAGAAGUUCAAAAAAGAGGAUCUGGAAUUCACAAUUGAUUGAUUGUAUUGGCAAAGGGGAGAAUUCACCCAAGCUUGUGAUGCUUGCGGGAUGUGCUUUCUAUUUGUUGCAGAUAUGAAACCAUGGAGUCCAUUUAACCCUUCAUACUAGCCUCGAACCUAUCAUCUCGGCAACCUAAUACAGCACAUAAUAACAUGGUGACCAAUGGCGUAUUUAGUAACGCUUCUGUUCCCGGAAAUAAUUUAUGAUCAAAAAUGAUUUUUAUUUAUUUAUUUUGUUCUUAGGAACAAUUUAUAAAUAUUUUAAACGUUUGGUAACUAUUCAAAAUUUCAAUUUUCAGAAUAGAAUUGUGUUUGGUAUCGUACUCAAAAUUCUAUUCCAAAUCAUUUUCUUUUAAUUUUUAAAUAAUUCUAUUAAUAUUGAUAAAUUUUACAAAGUCAAAUCAAUUCUUGCUCCAAAAAAUUUGUAUCUUCGGUCCUAUUGAUCCAAAAUAGUCGAUUCUAUCACAGGACCGGUUUGAUGACAGCAUAAAACCAUUUCUUGGGGACCUCGACUUGUCGUUCAUGGCGAAACUGGCAAGAGAGAAUCCGAGGAAAAUUCUGCGAAAAAGCAAAAGUGACGAUGAAAAGGAAAUAAAGCCAAAAAGCAAAGAAAAAGAUGGUGGGUGGGCAUCCUAACGUGGAAAAGAAGUCCCGCCAGUACUUUUUAGCGUGCAUCUCAUGUUGUCGACGAGAUUUUAGUCAAAAGAUUUCCUUAGGGAACCCUCAAGGAAAAAAAAAAACCACGGCAAUGCUUUGUGGGGGCUACAAAUUUUUCAUCGUUGCUCCUUUGCCCCGUCUUUUCCCGUGCUGCAAAGAGUUCCUUUUCAAAGUUAAAUUUUAUGAAAGUUCGUCGCUUAAAUCCUAUCACUCUUGUUCCCAUUACAAUUCAUCAGGCUAGAGCCCAAAUAUUGGCACAGCCCAUUAUUUCCCGGACCUGGGACAACCCCUUGUGCCGAGCUCAAGCCCAAGCCUCGCCGGUGGCCGAGGGAGGCUCGGGCGAGGCCCACUUGGCCACCAGUGAGGUCGAGCCUCGCCGGUGGCUGGGCUUGUCUCCAACGAGCUCACCGGACCUUACCCUGGCUUGGUGAGCUUCCGACGAGCUCGCUAGACCGGCGAUGGAUGACAACCUUGAUGGUGGCAGCAAAUGAAGAAGAAGAAAAGGGAAGAACAACAAGAAAAAAGAAAAGAAAACGAGAAAAUAGGUUCUUAAUUUUAGAAUUAUUCCCAAGAAUAAGAAUUAACUUUUUUUUUUUAUUAUUCUUGAUUCUAUUUCAAAUCUACUUCCGAAAAAAAAAAAUAGAAAUUUUUUCCUAGGAACAAAAAUUUUACCAAACACUGUUUUAUAAGUUGCUAAACAGGCCCCAAUUUAUCCAUUCACCAUUUGGGACAGCCGAUCAAAAUGAAACAAGCCCAUUCGAGAUUGAUUCGUGACUAUGUAGUCCAAACAAAAGCAAAUAAAAUAAAAGAGACGAAACUACUAAAAAGAUUACUGGUAACAAAAAAUCGAUUGCGAAUUCUGCCGAGACAAGAGUGUCUGUUUCAACUACGGAAAUGACAAGAGAGCACAAAUAUCAGUCUCUUAUACAUUAUAUACCAGAUGUUUCUCAUUCUUUGCUAUAAGAAUUAGAAUUUUUAUGCGGAUGAAUAAGGGAGUUCUGUUAAUGUAGCCUCCACCCUUACCAAGUAUGAACAAGAAGUUUUCAACUCUAAAUAAGUUCUCAGUCGUAUCAAAACUUAAGAUAAUAUCUGUAACCAUAGGUUUCCUGUACAAGACAUGAGGCUGAAAGGCAAAAAAAAAAAAAAAAAAAAAAAACACUGUCCAAAACAAUGCCAAGAUGAGGAUCAAAGUGACAACUGACAAGAUCAGCUCAUUCUCGUACCUCUUCAGCACAAACCUCUCUUCAGAUGCUAUAAUGCUGGUGACAACACAUUUCUUGUCUGAAAAUGGCUUCCUACCCGUCCUUCCAGCUCGAUGAAGGUAAUCUAUGGCACUUCUCAGAAGAUCAAAGUUGUAAAUAUGAGUUGUUUCCGGCAGGUCAAUACCUCUGGCUGCGAUAUCAGUUGCUACAAAAAACAUAGCCUUCUUUUUGUCUCACUUCCUGUAGUCCAAAUACGGAGGAAUUAAAUAU